rnacentral:lncRNA from 1 species
UACAAAAUGACCAAAUUGCCUUCAUUUUCUUCAUCUCCUUCUCUUCAAUCUUGCUCAUCCAGGUGGCAGAAGAGAUCUUGCUCAUCCAGGUGGCAGAAGAGAGCGAGGGCGUACGUCUGGGUAUGGACAGAGGGGUGGGUGAGGGCGAGGCGACGGCCGAGGACAUGUGUGUGGAUAUGGAUGAUAGUUUCAGGGGUAUUUUGAGUAUAAAAAAAAGAUAUAAAUGAAAUUGUAACGAAAUACUGAUAGUGGAGGCUGAAAUAAAUAUUUUUUAUUUUUUAAGGGGGUAAAAUGUAGAUUUUUUAAUGAUAGGAGAAAAGCGAAAAAGCGGAUAUUGACGAUAAGAUUAUCAGUAAUUUAGCGAGAUUUUUCAAUCAGUUUAUCGUAUAAAGUUAGCGCUUUUUAUGCAUCAAAUAAUCAUUCUAUGCUUAAAUAUAUAUAUAUAUAUAAUAUAUAUAUAUAUUAUAUAUAUAUAUAUAUAUAUAUAUAUAUUAUAUUAUAUAUAUAUAUAUAUAUAUAUAUAUAUAUAUAUAUAUUAUAUAUAAUAUUUUUUUAAGUAUAUUAAUAUUUUUUAUUUUAUGAUAUUUUACAAACACUAAUUUUUGUAUUCGUUUACAUGAAUGAUAAAUUAUGAAUUUUGAAGAAAUGUUCAGAAAAUAUAUUCUUUAGAAAAGCAUAGAUUGUUUCUUCUUACGACUACUGGGCUCUACAAGAAACCGAGUUCGAACGCUGCACCUGCACCACACACCCAUCCUCCGACCACUCCUCCUCCUCCUCGCGCCCCUCACCCAACCCCUCUCCAACCCCUCUCCACCCCAAAAACCUAACCGUAACCCUAACCCUAACCCUAAAUCCUUCCACCCUCUCCGACCUUCCCCACCUCUCCCUGCCCCGCCUCCUCAAAUCGUGCGCCCGCUCCUCCUCCCUCUGCCCAAGCCUCCGCCUCCACGCCGCCGCCCUCAAGUUCGGUCUCCUCUCCUCCGACCCCUUCGUCGCCUACGCCCUCAUCUCCUUCUACUCCUUUUGUGGCGUCCCCGACCUCGCCCUCCGAGUGCUCGAUGAAUUGACCCAUCGAGCCACCUCCGCCCUCUCCUGUACUGCCGCCGACGCCGCGGCGCUUCACUCCGACCCCCCGCCGCGCGCGCGCCCUCUUCGCGCGCAUGCUCGCGUCCUCCGUCGCUCCUGACGCCCAUGCCCUCGUCGGCGCCCUCGCCGCGUGCGCUGAGGCGAGCUCCUUCCCUCUCGGCUGCGCCGCCAACGCCAUUGUUGUGAAAAGGACCUCCGCGGAGCUCUCGGUCGGAGCUCUCGGUCUUCUUGGGCGCGGUGCUCGUCGACAUGUACUGCAAACGCAGCUGCGGGUGCGACACCAUCACCGUCUUCCAUUCAGUCCUGGAACACAAUAAGACCACCCAAAUGCGAAAUGCCAUUAUCCACGGGUUGGCCGCUCAUGGACGGGGAGACGAUGCACUCCAACUGUUUGACGAAAUGGUUAAGAGAGGCGUGUGGCCCAACGAUGUGACCUUUGUGAGCCUCCUUAAAUGCUAGUGCGAGAGGGGAAAUCCUAUUUUGAUGUGAUGAUGCAAGAUUACGGUAUUGAGCCAACCAUAAAGCACUAGGGGUGCAUGGUGGACCUGCUAGGCCUGGCGGGGUUGCCCGGAGAGGCUUUCAAGACGGUUCUCAAGAUCCCUGUUCCACCCGAUCAUGUCAUAUGUAGGGCUCUUCUUAGUGCGUAUAGUGUGCAUGGCGACUUAGCCAUCGCGGAACAAGUGAUGGGAAGGAUAACUAGAGAGGGAUGUAGUCCGGUAGGAGAUGAGCCGCUAUAUGAUUAUGUCGAACAUGUACCAGAAAGCAGGCUUGAGUGAGAAGAUGGCUGGGGUCAGAACAAUGGUUGAGAGGAUGCCAAAAGGUAGAAGCUGGAUUGAAUUUCGAGGGAAAACAUUUGAGUUUGGAGUUGGGGCCAAUGAUUCUACGUGCUCAAUAUGGGCAGAGAUCGGGGCAAAGUUAAAGGAGCUAGAUGAUCAAUUUGAGAAAGAAGGGAGUGAGUGUGCUAAUGGGAACCACCAUAGUAAGAGAGUUGCUGUUGCUUUCAGUUUGAUUAAGAUUGGCGGGUCAAUGCCGAUUAGAUUAUUCAAGAACAUGAGGAUAUGCAGGAGUUGUCACGAGUGGAUGGAGAUUGUUUCAAAGCAUUGUGGGAAAGAGAUUGUAGUUAGGGAUUGUAAUCGGUUUCAUCAGUUUGUUGAAGGGCUAUGUUCAUGGAAGGAUUAUUCGUGAGUUUGUAGACUUUGGUACUGUCUUUACUUGUCAUAUGGUUGUCAUAUGAGAGACCAUGAUAGUUAGAGAACCACUAUUGUUCUUCUAAAAAUUGGCUAGACAUGAUGGGGAAAAGAGAGAAGGCAUUCAGAUGUUGAUAAUGUCUUAAACAGGAGUUGAAUAUGCAAUGACUUGAUGAAAGCGCUGAACUAUUAGAGGCGCCUACUUGGAUGUUGGAAAAGUUGUCCGCUGUUAACUUAUGCCUACAAUUUAGGGGUUUUGAUUUCUAGCUUUCUAGGAUCUUCAUAACUCUGUUCUUUCCAGACAGUAUGUUCCACCUUCAAUGUCAUUUAUCAAUUUUCGUUCAGAAUAAUUUAGAAAUUGGAUAUAUUAUGCAGUUGUAGACAUUUUCUGUACCCCUAAUCAACGAAUUACAACAUGCUUCUUGAGGAAAGUAAGGCACUACUUUUGAAUAGAUUAUUCAUGUAUCCAAAUAGGCCCUUAACUCUAAAGCCGAAAUUCAUAUCAGAGAAUGUGCUGAAAAGCAAUGCAUCAGUUUUCAACUGAUUAAUGAUAUUAUUAUCUAAGCUAACAUGUAUCAACAUUCAACUACGAGUAAUAAGAUUGCAAGGUUCUGGCCUUGGAGGGAAGAAACAAAUGGUCAGAAUUAGUAUCCAUGAUUUCAUCAUUGUUUGUUUCAUUAAUGUCAUAAAUUCGUGUUUGAUUGAGCUAUAUUUGUUUGUUGAGAUCAAUGGUUAUUCAAAAAUAAAAAAUAAAAGGUGAAAACCUACCUGUGGUACAUUACAUUGUUUUGUCUUGUUAAUUUUAAUGGUUGAUUGCUACGAUGUUAUGAUAUACUUGCUAUCACCGUAGAGCAAACUUUUCAGUUUGAUGUAUUGUGAUGCGUCAUUGUUUAGAGAGGCUUGAGUCCAGCUAUUUGAGUCUGUACCAGGCAAAUUGCCAAAUUGUGAAACAGAGAGCCUAUUGAAUUUUCUUAAAUGUGAUAGAGAUAUAAAAUAAAAAGAUUCAAAAUUUAAGUAAAAUUUAGAUUAUCGUUUAUGCUUAGUUUUAUGACAUUCUAUUUAAGCUGGAACUUAUAUUUUGAGGUUACAGUCUAGAAGCUAGACAGAUUUGCCUGCUCAAAUUAACCUUUAGUUUCUACAUGUUAUUUGUAAUAAUCUCGAGACGUGAUCGUCUAUCAUCUAAGGGCCUAUUUGUAUGUCUAAACAAGUUAUUUAUUGACAACUUGUCCACUUCGUGGAUUUUUCUUUUAGGCUCUGUUUGGAUGCAAACAUCUAGUUUAGCACAUCUCUUUCAUUUAUUUAAGUUGGUAGAUGAGUAGUGUGUUCAAAUGUCUAGAAAAGCUACCAUAUUCAGCCCUCAAGAUGUUUACUCGGAACAAGAUUAAUCAUCUCGUAGGUGAAAUACAGCCUUCCAAGGAGCUAAAAUGAAACUACCAUAUUGCAAUUACACAAAAUCCUUAUAGUGCAUAAACUAUCACCGGAUAACUUGUUCCAACAUCCCACCAAGGCCUUACCAUUGAAAGCUAGGAAUUUGAUUUUAGCUCCUUGCAAGGUUUUAGCAGUCAUGAUUUGUUAGGAUAAUGUAUUUCACCUAUGAAGUGAUUUACUUAUUUAGAGAAUGACUUGGAGGCCGAUGGUGUGCAUUUCGAGACAUUUUAAUCAUUCUCUUCAUCUACCAAAUGCUACAAAUUUCUUAGGUAAAUAAAAGAAAUGUGUUGAACAAAAUGUUCAUUCAUCCAAAGAAUCUUACAUGUAUUUACCUUUAGAUUUGCAUAAUUUAUAAGAAAAUCAAGGAUGAACCUUCUGGUUUAGUAUGAUUAUAUGAUAUUGGAGGCUAGUUUUGAUGAUUAAUCUAAGUUAACAGUCUUUUGGCAAUAAUUUCAAAUAUGGAAAGCUAUAGUGUAAAUGAGGAUUGAAUUCAUUUGUUUCCAUUAAAUAUCGUGCUUUGGCUUUCACGUGUUUCAUGUAAGAGGGUUUUUACUUCCUGAAAUAUGAUUGUCUGCUCCUUGUAAGUGACAAUACGAUUUAUUUUGCAUAGAAAGCUAGAGAAUAAUGAGGAUGUGAGUUCAUUUAUAUCUGUAAGGGAUUGCUUGCUUAGGCUUCGACAUAUUUCAUUCAAUAGGUUUUUACGGUCCUAAAAUAUGCUGUUUGAUCCUUACAUAAUUUAGGAUAAACUUCAAAUUACCCUUUUGUGGUAUGCAUAUAUUUUACUUUGCCACCUUGUGAUUCAAAAAGUUGCACUUUGUUCCCUUGUAAUUUUUUUUCACCAAAAAAUUUUAUUUCAAAUAGGAUGACAAAGUAAAUAUUUUUGAAAAAACAUAGGGUGACAAAGUGAAAAACGCACAAAACUACAUGGUAGUUAAGUGUAACAUUUUGAAUCAUGGGGUGACAAAGUGAAAAUGAGCUAUGUUGGGUUAGUGAUAUCAAAUUCACUUAUUAGCCUAAUUGGUUUUGUUUUGGGUUUGGUUCAACAACUCAUGUAAUGGGCUAGUUAGUAUUUGGUUUGAGCUUUAGUUGACCCAUUUGGUAUGUUGGGCCAAGUGGAGUUAAGAGAGAACUCUUUGGGUUAGAGAGAGUGGGUUCUCAUUUUUGCUCUCUAGGUUUUCCCUUUUCUUGUAAUAGAGAAGAGAGGUGUAGAGAGGGUUGGAGAAGGAGCUCUCUUGUUCUUCUUGCUUGAUUCAAAGACUUCCAAGGUAGAUUGGAGGAAUUCUAAGAGGUAUUCCGAAGCGGGAUUCGCGGAAUCGGAAGGUGCUUCAAAGAAGGUGUAGCAAGAAGGGAUUUCCAUUGGAAGGUUGUAAGCCCAUUGUGAUAGAGUGGUAAUCUCUAACCAAAUCUUGUAAUCUCCUCAUUUGAUAGUGGAUUUGAUCUCUCCGUGCCCGUGGAUGUAGCCCGGUUUGGGUGAACCACGUAAAUCUUGUGUUGUUGUUGUGGUUGUGCUUGGAUUUUUCUCUUUCAACUUCAUUUACUCCAAUCUUGCAUAUCUUGGUUGUGGAUAAUUUAGAUACAUCACAUUUGUUUACUAGUGUGAUUAGUAUCUUGAUAGUGAGGGUUCCGUCAUUAGCUCACUACAAGCUAAACCACCAUAGUGCAAAGUGCAAGUGAAAAUACGCUGAACCACAUGGGGGCAAUUUGAAGUUUACCCUAUAAUUUAUGAUUCCAUAGUACCGAAUUGAUAUAUCUUAGAACUUUGUCUCAUAAAUUUGUUCAAUUAUCUUGAUAAACCAAAUGCAAGGCUUGACUAUGAAGUGAAUGCUCGAAUCAGCAUGAAAUAGUUGCCAACCCGUUCAUGUCGGAUUUUGUGUCUAAAUCAAUCAUCAUCUCAAAAAGUUUGGACUUGUUUCCUAAGUUGAACAUGCAUAUAUGAGUCGACUGAGACGACAGAAAAUUGCAACUUUUUUUCCUGGUUACAAAAGUGAUGUACAAGAAAGGGAUUCGCAUCUGAAUCUGUUAGAUUCCAUGUAUUUAUCCGCGCAUCAAUGCACAACAAUCUGAGCAAUUAUUUUUCCUAUUUUCAUUCCAGAUCAUUUUGAUUCAGUUAUUCAAUUCUGAUUCCCAUUUUUGAACCGAAAAUGCCCUAAAAGUACUUGAUCCCUCCUUAUUAGGCAAUAAUUGUUGUUGCUCACUUGUAUCUUAAUCCAUAGUUCAUUUAAUAUAUGGAUUAGUUAGCUUCAGCUCUGAUUUGCUCCAAGUCCUUUCUCUACAUGUCAUGCAUCUAUGUGUCUGCAUUGAUAUCCCACAAGUUGUAGAUGCAGAGACGUAUUUUCCGCUCUCCAUAGUCUGUUCAUCCUUUCUAUGAACUGCUCAGCUUUCUCCUUCAGCUCAUCGUCCUCCCGAAGCUCGUCCGAUGCGUCAUCCUCGACCUCAUCGCCCUCCUUGCAUCCCGCAUCUCCAUCGCCUUCUUCUAGGCUGUCAACUGGCUCACGCUCAUCGCGCUGUUUGACAAGCAGAGGAUCGGACAUAGCAGCACUAAGCAAGAGAACGGCUAUGAUGAGAUGGCAGAUGAAGAAGGCAACAAGAGAAUUUGCAGCUGAUGAAUGAGUUAUCAAUUGUACAAUUGCGGAAUGCAACAUUGCUCCCCAGGGAGGAGGUGAGAUAUUGUUGCUAUUAAUGGUUUGAAUUGCUUGAAAAGUUUUGGCUUUUGGCCUCUUAUAUAUAUGUAUGUGCCUUAAUUUGUUCUUCAAAGUGUGUAAGGGAAGCUUUUCCUUUUGUUUAUGUUGUGGAUGGUUCAGUAUAAUAAUAAGCUUUACUUGUUCCUUGGUGUGAAAGCUUAUUAAAGUGGGGUCAAACACAUAUGGGCCAUAUGAUCCUAUCUUUAUGCCAUGUGACAUCAUUAUUAUUAUUAUUAUAUUAUAUCAUACUAUGCUACAUGAAAAUUCUCAUGACUUUGUUCCUUCCUGCAGGGAUGGCAGGGUUAAAAUGCCAGGUCCUUUCUGGGCAAGGAAGCCAUCCGCUGACCAAGUCAAUUUUCUUAAUUUUUCUUUAGUGCCAUUAAUUCUGUUGUUUGGUUAAUUUAAGUUGAAAUUUGACUUGUUCGGUACCGUAGUGCCGUAUUUUUCUUUGAAUUGCUAUUUGAGUAAUGAUAUUAGAAAAAGUAUUUUACUAAAAUUCACUCAAUGAACUUUUCUUUAUAAAUGCAGAAUUUUCACUUUUAGACUCGGAAUCUUGUUUCAGUUUCCCAUCGCACUAGAAGCUGGGCAAUUUUUUGCGUGUUAAACGCUCUCCUAGAUGCAACUGCAGCUGAAGUCAAGGUACAAUCUGGGCCAAAUUGUCACUUAAGAAGUCAUUUUAUAUGUAUUCAUAUUAACUUUUUAGUUAGUCAUUUUGCAGUGGACUUAAGAUGAUUAUUAUCUAUUGAGUUGACAAUUCGACUAAUAGUGCGUCAAAUGUGUCUACCAUUACUUGUGUGGAAUGACAUUGAUUAUUUAAUUUAAACAUUACAAAAUUCUGAAUGAGAAAAUGAUUUUUCUAUGACGCAUUUAAAAUCGGCAAGUAGUGUUUCCCUUUUUCCUCUGUUUUUUCUUGUUCUUCAAUAUUUUUUAUUUUUAUUUUUUUUUCCUUGUGUUUUAUUCCUUACUGCUACUCCACGACACACAGAUUUUAUUUUGUGGGAACAUUUCGUAAACUAGUCGCAGGUUGUCUUGAACUAUUUUAUUUUCCUUUCCCUGGAUAUAUGCUUAUUUAUUUAUUUACUUUUUUCUUUUUUUAUCCUUCGUAUGUAUGUUUCGUAUAGUAUCUUUGUGGCAAGUAAAUAUAAAUAAUUAAUUUGUAGAUUGGACUAUUAAAAUAAGAAAAAUAGCGUUUGGAUAGAUAAGAUAGAAUAAAAAGAAUACUGGAUAGUUAUAAAUAGAAAAUAAUAAUAUUGUCCCUUAUAUUUAAAUUUAAAAUUUGAAUAUAUAAUUUUAAAAAUUGAAAAAUUCAAAAUAAAAUUUAAAUUUGUAAAUCUCAAAUUAAUUAUAUUAAAGUUCUAAAUUAUAAAUUUAAGAUUAUAUUUAAAUUUAAAAAUAUCAAAUAUCAAAUAUCAAAAUUUAAAUUUAAUAAAUUAAAAAUAAUAAUNUUGAAUAUAUAAUUUUAAAAAUUGAAAAAUUCAAAAUAAAAUUUAAAUUUGUAAAUCUCAAAUUCAAAAAAUUAAAGUUCUAAAUUAUAAAUUUAAGAUUAUAUUUAAAUUUAAAAAUAUCAAAUAUCAAAUAUCAAAAUUUAAAUUUAAUAAAUUAAAAAUAAUAAUUUAUAAUAUAUAAUUUAAAAUUUAUUAUUUAAAAUUUAUAAUUUAAAAUUAUAAAUAUUAAUUUUAAGAUUACAAAAUUUUAAAUUUAAAACAUUUAAAAUUUAAUUUUUAAUUUUUAAUUUUUAAUAUAAAAAUUAAAUAGGGGUGAGAUUAGCUAAUUCCAUCCCUAUUCCAAAGGGAGGGUGCUAACCCCACCCUUAUAAAAAAGUGUUUGGGGAUUAUGGGGCUGGGCGGGGGUGGGGGGAGAUGGGGAUAACCCCUUAUCCCCCCCUUAAUCCCCAACCAAACACCAAUGGUUGUCACACCCCAAUAAUUUCACAUCGGAUAGAAAUAGAGAUGUGAUUGGAUAUAUAAGAGAUUUAAAUACUAGUAAUAAUAACUGAACUUAAGCAUUUUAGGCCGGUGUUUGGGCCCAACGAGUUAUUGUUGCUAGUGGGCUGGGUCGUUACAGUUAGUAUCGGAUCUGAUUUACCAGCCGAAAAUGUGUGGCGAGUCUCGACCAGGGUCUGGAUGAUAAGGCUAGCGGGCCUGGUGAUUUUAGGCUGUGUGUGUAAUUGGAUUGACGAGAACGUCAGGAUCUUAAUGGGGGAUUGGAUUGAUGAGAACAUCAGGAUCUUAAUGGGGGAGUCUGUCACACCUCAAUAGUCCUACAUCGGAUAGGAGACUCGGGAGAGUCUGUCACACUUCAAUAGUCCUACAUCGGAUAGGGGGAGUCCGUCAUAUCUCAAUAAUCCCAUAUCGGAUAGGAAUGAGAAUCUAAAUUAGACACUAGUAAUAAUAAUUGCACUUAAGCAUUUUGGACUGGUGUUUGGGCCCAACGAAUUAUUGUUGCUAGUGGGAUAGGUCUGGGCCCAAUAAGUUAUUGUUGCUAGUGGGAUAGGUCGUUAUAAUAGUGCAAUUCUUUUACUAUAUAAUGUAACAUUUGUCCCUAUAAUGCAACUUUGUUUUAAAUAGUACAAUAUCGCAUCGUUUGCCAGAAUUUUCUCUCGUACUACAGCCACCAUCACAUCGCCAUCGGCAAUGCUUGCAUUACAAACAUGCUUUAGAAAUAUUCUCGAUAAGGAUCAUCACCCUUCUCCUUUGCUACCUUCGUCUCAAUCUCUAGUGAAGCUUUGAGUGGACACGACGGUCGUCUUCCUCUUGAUCGUCAAGAAUACCACGAUGCGGACGCGAUAGAGGAGUUGGUGUCGAAGCAGCGGUGGAGGUAGGAGGGGUGCUCGAGGCUGCCGGUUGGGUGGACACCAUGGGCCUUCGAGGCGGAGGUGGUGGGGUGUUUAAUGCACAUAAAUAUUUUGGCCAGUUUUCAAAAAAAUAGAGCAAAAUUCGUAAAACGAAAAAAAAAUAACAGACUUUCGUAAAAGUACAAAACUAAUAAAUUUUUUAUACAAAAAAAAUCGUAAAAUUUUAAUAUUUUUUAUAUUCAAUAUACAUCACACUUUCAUUUAGAACAUUCCGAAAGAAAUCGAUUCUUCUAGAGCGAGCUUUAUGAGGCACAGAAUUACUUUUCUUUAUCUCUUUCCUUCACCUGCAUUAAAUUAAAAUUUUCUCUUCCUUUCGGGUAGUGAUUGCAGAGAAUACAGAAAUACUCAUCCCAAUAUUUUAUUUGGUUUCUGGCCUGCUAAGUAACAUAUAUGUUGCUAACUGUACCCAAUUAGUAUUCUCGUUCCAAAUUCCAAAUUGGGCCGAUUGCUUUAGUCUCCCUCCACAUUCGCAUUCGAAAAAUAAAAUUUCUUCUUGCUUUUUCUUCCUCCGCAUUCGCAUUCGCAUUCGAAAAAAAAUCCGUUUCUUAUCUCACUGCCGGAAAUUCAAGCGGUUUGAUUGUAACACGGCGGCUCCCCUCCGUUGGUAAGUCUCAGAGCCUCAUUUUCUGCUCUCCAAGCUCUGUUCAUCUUCUCGAUGAACUCCUCCGCUUUCUUCUGCAACUCUUCGUCGUCGUCGUCGCCGUCGUCCCCACGAAUCACAGUUGGCACAUCCUCCUCCUCCUCCUCCUCCUCCUCUGCAUUGUCCUCGUCAUUUUCCGCAUAUCUAUUGCCUUCCUCCAAGCUGUAAAUAAUAUUAAUGGACUCGGACCCGCAGUUUUCUUCUACAGUCGGUCGUCGAUCGGGAGCCGAGACCGCGACGGUAAGCAAGAGAACGGCUAUGAUGAGAUGGCAAACAAAGAAGGCGAGAAGAGAUGAAGUGGUGGUGGAUGAUGGCCGAUCUAUGAACUGCCCUACAGUUAAGAGUAGCAUCGUGCUUAGGGGAUGUAAAUACUAAAAAAUGGUGCUUGUGUAUUGGUUUAUAGUUGAAGAAAAAGUUGCGUAGCUUUGGCCUUUUAUAAAUGCUUCUGCUAAUAAGUGGCAAUUAGCUCAGGUGUGCAGGGGAAGAAGCCUUUGGGGCUUUUCCGGAGAAGUCCCAACGAGAAGAUUCAGUACAGGUUCCUUGGUGUGAAAGCUUUACUCCAGGUCAGGUCAAACAUAUAGUAAUAGUUUAGAAGAUAUUAGGGAAAACUUCAAAAACUCCAUUGUGGUUUUAAUUUUUUUCACUUUAGUAUCCUGUAGUUUAAAAUGUAUUAAGUUAGUACCUUAUGGUUUCUCAUUUUAUCACUUUAGUACCCUUUAGUUUAAAGUGUAUCAAGUUAGUCCCUUGUGAUUUUUUAAAUCACAUGGUACUAAAGUGAUAAAGUGCAAAAUCACAUGGUACUAACUUGAUACAUUUUAAACCAUAGAGUACUAAAGUGAUAAAGUGAGAAACCACAUGGUACUAACUUGAUAAACUUUAAACCACAGGGUAAUAAAAUAAAAAAGUGUGUAACUACGGGGGGGGGGUUGAAGUUUUCCCAAGAUAUUAUAAUUAUUAUUAUAAGCUCAAUUUGAUGAGACGAGCAUUAUGUUAUUAUUUUAUGGAAAAACUUCAAAAACCUCUCCCGUGGUUUCGCACUUUCUCACUUGAGUGCCCUGUAGUUCAAAGUAUAUCAAUUUGGUGUCAUGUGGUUUCAUUUUUAUCUUUUCUAUAGCUUUUUCGUUAAUAUUUUAUUAAAUUAUAUAUAAAAAAACUUCAGAUACCCACCUAGGUUUAUCGAAUAUUUACUUUAGUACCCUUUAAUUUUAACUUUGUCACUGAUUUAAGGGAAAAAAAAUAGUAAGAUUGAUAAUAAAAAGAUAAAAAUAAAACCAUAGGGCACCAAAUUGGUACACUUUAAACCACAUGGCACUUUAGUGAGAAAAUGCUAAACCACAGGAGAGGUUUUUGAAGUUUUCCCUUAUUUUAUUGAAUACAAGUCAAGAUAUCUGUGUGCUGCGACGGGUAGAUUUCUAAAAAUAGAUAAAAAUGUAAAAAAGGUCAAAGAAAAAAAAAAAAUACAAUAAAAAAAAACUAAAGAAGAAACAGCAACGCCAUAGUAAAAGUAUUAAAAUAAAAAUAUAAAAAAUAUAAAAGAAGAAUAAGAGAAAAAUCAUAUGAAUAAUAAAUUAUAUUUAUAAUAGUAAUAAAAGUUUAAAACUAAAAUACCAUAUAACUCAUAAUUCUAGUUAGAAAUUACAAUUACUUAAAGUAUGAUCUUUAAAAUAUCACGUCUUAUAGUUUGAGCAAGAAAAUAUAACCAUUAAAAUUCGACGACUAAAGUGUAAUGCGUCUUAAAGUUUGAGGACCAAAAGCAUAACUUAUCAUUUUAUUCUAGAUGACGAUAGAGUUGAGUAUUGAUAAGUUUUUUUCCGAUCAGUAAUUUUAUUCGAGAAAAGAAAAUAUUAAGCUAUCUAAUAAAUUUUAAAAUGUCUAAUUGUUUAAAUUAAAAAUCAACUAUUCAUAUUUCGGUAAUUCUAAAAUAUUUUAUAUGUAAAAUUAAUCACUCGUCAGAUAAUAAAUAUAAUAUUGAAGUUUGAUACUAAAAUCAAAGUAAAAAUAUAUAGAAUUUUUUGAACUAUGACCCAUUUUGAAUCAGCUAUUCAACAUUUUAAAAUUUUAUUUUAACUAUCCAAUCUUUUUAUAUGUUAGAUUUAAGUCAACGAAUGAUGCUUUGAUUUUAAAAUUUAAAUACGUUGUUUAACUUUACAGAUUUAGUAAAUAUACUUUAUAUAAUUUUCACACAUAAAUGUAUUAAAAUAAGUAAUUAUAUUAGAUUAAAAUAAUGAGUCCGAUUCUUCAGUCCAAAAAAAUGGAGAGAGAAAAAAAUUAAAAUAAAAAAUAAAAACAAAAUGUAUCCACCCGUACCACCAUCUCCAGGGUGGCCACGCCAUCCCCAAGCCCACCCCCUCGCGCUCCAGUCCCCUUCUUCGCCACGUGUAUCUUUAAUCUAUUAGAUUUAACUAGUUAAGGAACUCGCGCGACGCUGUGGAUAGUUAUUUUAAAAUUUAAUUUUAAAAAUUAGUUAUAAAAAUAAAUUUUAGAAUUUAAAUAAUGCAAUAAGUAUAUCAAAAAAUUUUAGUAGGCAUAGUAGUCCCCCCAUUAGUUAGUGAAAUAAUUUUAGUAGGUAUCGUAGGCCCCCAGUAAUUAGUGAAUGAGAAGAGAAAUUAUUAUUUGUUAUUCUCGCAAUUAAUUUUCAUCAAAUAUAAAUUAACUUAAGCUACAUCAAUUUUUUUUUAUUUUUUAAUAUACAAUUUAUAUGUGAAUACUCAAUAUUAUAAAAUUAAUAUUUAUAUUUAAUACCAGUAGUCUAAAUUAUUUAACAUUUAUUUAUAUAUUUUAUAUUUUAUAAAAAUAAAUAGUAAAAAUAUGUAACAUAUUAUUAUAUAAUAAUAUUCUAUAUACAAAUAAAAUACUAUAUAUAAUAAAUAAUAUUAUAAUAAAUAAAUAUAUAUUUAUAAAUAAAUUUAUUAUAAAUAAAUAAUUAUAUUUAUAAAUAAAAUAUAUUAUAUAUUACUAGAUAUAUAUAUAUAUUAUAGUGGGCUGGUAUGCUUCUGUAAGCACGAGAGCCUUCCGGACUUCCAGUUUUUCGAUGUAUGGACUUAUACGAACAUCGACGAUCGCCUCGUUAGUUGACUAGGUAUUUGAAGUACCUAGAAAAUAAAUUCGCGAUUUUUCGAUAUGAUUUCCUGUGAUCGAAAAAGGGAGCUCAAAAAUCAAUAAUCUUUAACGGUGUGCGUGAGCCGUUUGCAAGUUAACGGUUGUAGGAAAUAUCAAAUCCAUGAAAUUUUGAUAGAAAAUCUUUAUUACCAUAUAAAACAGAUUCAAUAACUGUUGAUCUAAAAUUUAAUAUCAUUAUUUCAUCAGUAUUUUGUUAAGAUUUUAUUUCAGCCGUUGAUUUGGCCUCUUCGUUAUCACUAGGCAAAUGAUAUCGAAAUCCGCGAAAUUUAUUUUCUAGGUACUUCAAUACUCUAGAUCAAGUCUAACGGGCAUCGUCGACUUCGAAAGGGGCCAACAUCGAAAACAACUUGGAAGCACGGCAGUGCUCCGUGUUCCAAAAGCACCCCAGACGCAACUCUACUAUUAUAUAUAUAUAUAUAGAGAGAGAGAGGGAGCGGAGAGGGAGUGAGGAGAGAGAGAGACCCGGCAGACGAGGACGAAAGGACGAUCGCUCUCGUCCCUUUGUGGCGGAAGGCGACAAGUUGUGCGGUCACCGUCAACGGGGAGAUUUGACUGAUUUUAGAGAGAGAGACGGGGGGCGCUCUACGCGCCGAGAACGAGAUACCAAGAAUGGCGUUAACUUGGUCCACCUCUUCUUGUGUUGCAAUACUGUCACUGCUUCCUGAGCUGAGCUACUGCGCAAUCUACGGACUGUGCUAGGUUUUGCCUCACUUACAUACAUACGACCCUAGGCUUGAUCCGGACGCGUGUUCUAAUUGGGCACUACACCCUACAUUAUCUCCCUUAGACAGUACUUGGAGAGAGAGAGGCUGACUAGAAUAACUAUAAGUAGCAAACGAGCCGUUUUACUACUAUUUGUUUUCGUGAUAGAGCCUUCAUAAUUGACAUCGCUCCGUUAAAUAUGAUCUGAAACCAUUUCAAACUACCUAGAAAUCAAAUUCAACUAACUUUCGAUAUUGUUUUUAUCCAUCAAUGAAAAGAAAAAUGAAUGACUGAAAAUGAAUUUCUUUAAAAAAUGAUGAUAGGAGUCUUAUAAUUCAAGAAUCAAGAGUAUAGAUCUUAGUUUAAAUAGUUAAGAAUUUCUAACAAAAUUCAAUUGAUUGAAUAUUUACGCCUGUUAAUGAGAAACGCCUCUCAUUGACCAUUAAAAUUACAAAUUUUGAAACCUUUAUUCAUUUAGGCAAAUCAUGUCGAAAAAAUUUUGUGAAAUUGAUUUCUAAACACUUCAAGUGGUAUAGAUCAUGUUCAACGCGAGCGAUCUCAAUUGGAGCUCUAUUCAUCGAAAACUAAUAGGUUAGAAAACGCGCUCGUUUACUACUGAUAGUAUUCUAGCAAAAACUCUCUCUUCUCUCUCUCUCUCUCUUUCCUCUCGUCUCUGACUCCUCUCUCUUCUCUCUCUCAUCUAUUAUAUAUAUAUAGUUGAGGUGGAAUGUUAUCGGUAGCAAACGGGCUCCGUUGCUACCAAUUUGUUUCGAUGAUGGAGCCUUCAAAUCGACAAUCGGUAUCGAAUAUAAUCUAUAUCACUUGAAAUAUCUACAAAUCAAAUUUUAAAUCUUUUUGACAUCAUUGACCUAAUAAUCAAAGGGUUUUAAUUAAUGGUUGAUAUGAUGCGUUUUCUCGUUUAAAAUCAAUUGAAUUUUGGUAAAAUUCUUUAAACUAUUUAUAACAAUAUCUAUAUUCUCGAUCUUGAUUACAAAAUUUCUAUCAUCACUUUUUAGAGGAUAUUUAUUUCAGUUGUUCAUUUUUACGCCCACUUGAUGAACAAGAGAACAUUAUCGGAAAAAAAUAAAAUUUGAUUUCUAAACACUUCAAGUGGUAUAGAUCAUGUUCAACGGUGCUGAUCGUCGAUUUGGAGGCUCUAUUAUCGAAAACAAAUGGGUGGCAACGGAGCCCGUUUGCUACCGAUAGUAUUCUAGCUCAGUUAUAAUAUAUAUAUAUAUAUAUAUAUAUAUAUAUAUAUAUUUAUAUAUUAUAUUAUAAUUAUAUAUAUAAUAGAUAUAGAAGUAGAGCUAGUAUACUUGUAAAGUUAUCACCUAAGUGAUACUGUGUGUUUUAGGCCCUUGGAUGGAGAGAUGUGAGGUUGGAUGAUGGUGUAGUUGUGGUGGCUAGCGUGUAAUAGUAUUGGACAAGGGACUGAUUAGAAUAAAAAAGUAGAUCCAAAUAGCUAAAAACAAAACAAGUAUCACUUGGGUGAUACUUGUAAAGUAUUCUAGCCCUACUCAUUAUAUAUUAUAUAUAUGAUAUAUAUAUAUAUAUAUAUAUAUAUCAUAUAUAUAUUAUAUAGGUUGAUUCUAGGAUACUUUUACAGAGUAUCAUCCCUAUGUUAGCCAUCACGUUUUUAGCCAUUGGAUCUAUUGUUUGUUACAAAUAGCUCCUUGAAUCAAACACUAUUUCAGCUACCACAACCUACCACCAUAUCUCAACCUCACAUUUCUUCAUCCUCAAGGUGCUUAAAAUACACCAAAACUAUUCACUUGGGUUAUAUUGUAAAGUAUUCUAGCCCCUACUUAUAUAUAUAUAUAUAUAUAUAUAAUAUAAUAUUAAUAUUCUAUAUAUAUAUAUAUUAUAUAUAUAUAGUAUAUAUAUAGUUGGACUGGGCAAUAUUAGUAGCAAAAUCCAUUUGCUACUAGCAUUUUAGCCUGGAUCAACUCUUUUUCAUUAUUUCUAAAUCAUUGAUUAAAUACUAUAACCCGGGGAACCACUCAACCCUAGGGGGACCACUCAACUAUAACGGACUAAUAUCAUCCUGACCUACAAAUGUUCAUCAGGUUAAAAACUGAUAGCAAAAAGAGCGUUUACUAUUAAUAGUAUUCCAACUAAUUCACUAUAUAUAUAGAGUUGAGCCUAGAAUACAUUUAAGCACAAUGAGGGUGGUGCUUUAUGAGUUUCUAACAUUGGAUGGAGCGAAUGUAGGGUUGUGAUGAUGGUGUGGUAAGGUGAUGGUAGGUAGAAUAGUGUUUGAUUCAAGGCUAUAGUAAUGAAGAAUAUUAUCCAAGAGUUUCAGAAACUAAAAGCCAUUUAAUGGGGUGAUACUUUUAAAAGUAUUUACACCAUUAUAUAUAUAUAAUGAGAGGGAGAGUCACCUGACUCCUUCUCACGUGGUUCCCACGAGGUUUGGAAUCGGCGCUCGUGGACCUUGGAGAAAACACCAUUGAGCUCCCUGUUUUUCGGCUCAGCACGACCCGCACCCGCCCGCGCACCAGGCCGCACGGCGCCGCCACGAGCCGCCCCAACCGGCCCCGCCCACGCCCCGCGUCGGCUCGUACUACCGCCAGCGCCGCAGCCGCCCGUGCCAGCGCCGCCCCGCCCCCACUCCGCUCGCGCUGGCGGCUACCGCACAGCGCAGCGCCGGCUGUCAGCCGCGCCGCGCCCUCGCAUCGCGCCUCGGCCAGCCCCCGCGCCAGGCCUACUCCGCGCCGUCCCGUGCUCGCCCGCUCGCGGCUCCAGGCCGCGCCAGCACCCGCGGUCGCCCGCGGCCCUCGCCUCGCGCUGGCCGCCUCGCCACCCCCGCAGCCAUGCGCUGCUCGCGCCUUGACUGCCCCCGCUCCUUCUCACGGCUCGCCCGCGCUAGCGAUCGCAGCGCCGGGCGCGCCCUCGCCCGCGCCUCGCAGCCCCCGCCGCCAGCUGCCGCCUUUGCGCCGCGCUGCCCGCGCGCGCGCAGCUCGCCACCUCGGUGCUCAGCCCGCGCCAGCGCUCGCGGCUGCCCGCGCGCCGCUCCCUUACCCGCGCCUCGGCCUCCUCGCGACACGUGUGCAGUUAUUGAGGUAUAAUAUAUAGUUAUAGAUUAUAGAUAGAUGCUUAUUCUGCACAACAGGUAGGGAUGCAAACGGAUCCGGGUUGGUGGAGCUCCCGCCCCGAUUCGCCCCGACGGGGGCAGUAAAUAGGAGAAAAUAAACGGAUUCGGGGCGGGAAACAGGGUAAAAUUUACAAUUCGAGAUUCGGGGCAUGAAACGGGAGAAAUUUUGACCCGCCCCGAAUCCGCCUCGAAAAUUAUUUAUAUUUUUUAAAAAUAUUCCUAAAAAAUAAUGUAUUUACAAAAAAGUUCAAAAUACAAAUAAAUUAGUAUUCUCAUUUCUAAUGUAUUUGAAACUUUUAAAUUUUAUUUUGAAUUGUGAUUGAUAUUUUUUAUUUUUAUAAUUAAUAGUGUUAAAUUAUAUAUAUAAUAUUAUUGAAAAUUAUUAAUUUAUAUUUUACAAAAUAUUAAUAAUAUUACAAUUUUAUAAAAAAUAUUAGUUUGCUGGGCGGAUUCGGGGCGCCGGCGGGAGGCGGGUAACGAGGCGGGGCGGAUUAUGAGAUGUAUUUUUUAACCCGUCACGGAUUCGGGGCGGGAGGCGGGGCGGAAUUUUGCUUGUCGAGGUGGGAGGCGGGGCGGGGCUCCCGCCCCCAGAUCCGCCCCGCUUGCAUCCCUAACAACAGGCCAAUUGUUUAGGCUGCAUUUGGUUUCGAUAUAAGUAAAAAGUGUUUAUUUUAGGGAUAAGUAUAAGUUCAGAUAUAAGUAAGAAUUAGAUUAAUUUUGUAUUUGUAUGAAAAUUAGGUUUUCGGAGAAUAAGAUAAACAUUAUUUGAAUGAUUAGAUUGGAAUAAAAGGAAUAAAAGUUAUAAUUUUAAAUUAUAAAAAAUUUAUCUAAUUAAUUAACAUCAAAAUAUUAAUUAAAAAUAACUUAAUAAAUUAAUAAAUUUAUUAUCUAUGAAUAUUGUAUAAGAUAAUGAAAAUAUAUUAAUUAAUUAAUUAAAUAUAAAAAUAAUUUAAGUUUUAAUUAGUUAGUAAAUUACUUUAGUUAGAUAACUGGUAAAAAAAAAAUAGAUAAUAAAAAUAUUAAUGGUUGAUCAAUAUAAAUAUUAGUUUAUGGAUAAACACAUUAAAUUAUUAAUAAUUAAUUAGCUAAUUAAUUAUAAAUAAUAAAUUAAUUAAUUACUUUAUUAUUUAAAUAAUGGAUAAUGAUUUAAAUAAUAUUAACUAAUAAUUUAAUUUCAUAAUUAAAAUUAAAUUUAGAUUUUAAUUAAUCUUGUUCCCACUUGGGAACAAGUUUGUUCUAGAAAAAAGAAUGAAACAGCAGUUCUAGACCUAUAUCGGGUUAUACUAGUUUAUUCCAGAGACUCAAAAAUUAUUGUUCUCGAAUACAAAAAAUUAUAUUUGGAAAUAAAAAGAGGAACAAAGAUUUAUUGAUAGAUUUUUUAGAUAUGUAAAAUAAGAAGAAAAUUAAAUAUAUGCCAAAAUCUUCAGGAUCAAAAUAAAAUAAGAGUUACGCCAUAGAGAAGAAAUUUCAGAUCAACCUGCGGAAGCAAAAAGUUCGACUAUGAUCUGGAAGUCACGAAUCGAACUUGAGUAAUUUGAUUUUUCCUUCUAUCUCAGACACUCUGUCGUAUGGUGUGGAACGGAUGAUAAUUUUUCAGCAGAAUGUGUAUGAGAAUGUGGCAGGACCAAUACUCCUUUAUAUACAGUCCAGAUCGACUUCCCAUCGAAGUCUGAUUAGAAUUCUAUUUAAUUUAAAUCGAUGAGAUAAAGAUAAAAUAUACCAUAUCAAGUAGUUCUAUAUCUAUUAGAAUUGACCUUUAUUUAUAAUAAAUUUAAAUUUAAAUAUAAUUAAUUGGGUCAAAAUUUAUGAAAAUCCUAACAUUUAUUCCUUCUCUUGUUUCGGGACCAAACGGGCCCUUCGAAUAGGUAUAAUAAUGAUAAGUAUUAAAGAGAGCGUGCAGUUUAAUGCAUUUUUAGUCCGUGCCACUCAGGAAUUCAUCUGAGUGAUGCACUUGACUUGCGCCUCUCGAACCCAACCGUUUUUGAAUGCAUCAACCCAUCUAGCCCACACGCCUAAGGAUGUCAAUGGGUAUGGAUAUCCAAAAUUUUAUCCGAACCUGAAUCCGAAUGAAACGGAUAUAUCCAAUGAUAUGGAUAUGAAUUCGGAUAUGGAUAUCAAAAAUAGAAACCCGACAGAUAUGGAUUCGGAUAUGGAUUUUGAUUGUACCCGAACCCGAAUUUAUUUUGUAUUAUAUAUAUAUAUAUAUAUAUAUAUAUAUAUAUAUAUAUAUAUAUAUAUNAACUGAUUGUAUAUAUUAUAUGACAUUUAGAAUGCAUGCACAUUGAAAAUUAGAAAAAAAAAAUUUUAAAAAAAAUUUCUUAUAAAUCAAAUUAUAGUUUCUUUUCCGCCUUUGAUUAUUUAGACUAAUUGAUAUCUUAGUAACAGAUUUUAAAAUCUUAUUACUUUUGUAUGUAAAAUCUUUAGACGGUGUGUGGGUCGUAUCUAUUAGAUUGAAUUUUGAUUUUAGUAAACUUUAAUUUGCUUUUUUGUGGCUUAGCAUAUUUAUUUGUCAUCUAAUGAUUCAAAAAGUUGAAUUAACUAUCUUUUAAUUUUAUUUUUAUUUUGUGAAAAAAACUUGCGGUCAAAUCGAAUAGCAAAAUAAAAUUUUUGAAACUGUGGAGUGAUAUCCUUAGUGAAAUAAAAAUAAAAUUAUAUAAUAAUAUUAAGUGUAACUUUUUGAAUCACAUUACGAGAAAGUGAAAGUGUGCCAAACCAGAUGAUAAUUAAGUAUAACUUUUUAAACUAUAAUUGAUCUUCUCUAGCACACAAUGGUAAAGGGCUUAAUUGUUGAUACCCGAGGUCUCAAAUUCGAAAUCUAAUUAUUUCAUAUUUUUAAAUUAAUUUACUUUUAAAAAUAAUAAAUGAAGUGAGUAUCGGACUACCAUAUUCUCUCUCUCUCUCUCUCUUUUUGAAUUAUAAGGUGAUAAAAUAAAAGUGCAUUAAAAUCAAAAUGGGGUAAGUUGAAGUUUUUACUAGGGAUGUAAAUGGGUAUGGAUAUCCGAAAUUUUAUUCGAAUCCGAACCCAAAUGAAACGAAUAUAUCCAAUGGAUGUGGAUAUGGAUAUCAAAAAUAGAAACCCGACGGAUAUGAAUUCGGAUAUGGAUUUUGAUUGUACUCGAUCCGAACCCGAACCCGACCCGAACCCGAAUUUAUUUUGUAUUAUAUAUAAUAUAUAAAUAAAAAUUUAAUGUUAUAUUUGAAUUUGUAUUCCAAAAAUUUAGAUUUAAUAUAAUAUAUUUUGAAAUAUUGAAAAAAAAAUAAUUAUUUCGGAUUCAAAUUUUCGGAUUCGGAUUCGGGUUCGGGUUCGGGUUUCGGAUUUUUAGUUGGGUUCGGGUUUGGAUAUCGAUUUUUAAAAUCCGUCGGGUUCGGGUUCGGGUCUCGGGUUUGGAGUCGUGUUCGGGUUCGGAUUUUUAAAAAUCCGCCCCGAAUCCGACCCAUUGACAUCUCUAGUCACGCCGAAGGUGCCCACUUUUUCACUUUGGUUUCCAAACAUUUUUGUUUUGCAAUCAAGUCCUAUUUUUUUUAGGUCCUAACUACUAAAAGGACCAUUAAAAUUUACACCAUGCACCAUGUCAGUGCUACAUUUAGCGUCAGCUUAGCAUCUACGUAUCUUUUUUAGGGUCCAAAGUGAAAAGAAUGUAAAAAAAGUUGGGAACAAGUUGUGCAAUUAAAAUUAAAAUUUUAAACUAAAAAUCUAAAUUUAAAACUUUGAAUUUGAAUUGACAAUAUAAUUUUGAUAUAAACCUAAAUUAGAAAUUUGAAUUAGAAUUCAAAAUCUGAAAUUUAAUUUUAAAGUCAAACUCAAUAUUUGAAUUCCAAUUCAAAUUUCUAAUUUAAGUUUAGAUCAAAAUUACAGCUAUAAAUUUAAAUUUAAAUUUUAAGUAAUUUAAAAUUUUAAUUUUGUUUUUUGUUUAAAAUUUUAAUUUUGAUUUUAAUUGCAACAGUUGUCCCCAACCUUUUCGUAUUUAUUUUUCACUUUGGUCCCUAAGGCUAACAUGGCACAUUGGCACUAACGUAGUGUGCUCCGUCAAUUUUAAUAGUCAUUUUAACCGUUGGAGCCUAAUUGCAAAAAAAUUAAAAGAUCGAAUACUAAAUUACAGAAAAAAAUAUAUUGGGGCCUGAAAUGAAAAAAAUGUUCAAAAAUUAGAGACAACCAGUGCAAUAAACCUUUAAAUUUCUUUUAGGAAAUUUAUUAAGGUCUUGUUUGGUUCACUUAUUUUAAACUAUGAAAUCAAAAUGAGACUUAUUGGUUCUAAUAGUUAAUUAUUGCUCGUUUUAUUGAAAUCGAAUUUUAAUUCGUAUUCCACUUUGAAAUGAAAAUGACCGAAAGUAUUUAUGGCUUAAUCCAGUUUUUUACUUUUUUAAUGUUUCAUUUUUAAAUUUCCUUCCUUAUUUUUUAUCUAUUUUUAAUAAUUCUUUAAUUCAUCUUAAUUAAAAUUUAUAUUGAAUACAAAUAAUUUAACUUAUUUAAAAAUUAUUUAUAUAUUUUAAAUUUUUAUAAAAAUAAAUAAAAUUUUAAAUUGAAUUAAAAAAAUUUAUAAAUUUUUUUUAAUCAUAUAUUANCUUAAUCAAAACCCUCUCUUAAAAUUUUAAGAGCGCUUUUGGUUCAAAAUGAAAAAAAGGACUCGGAAUUAGAAUAGAAAUAGACAGGAAUCGAAAACAGAAUAAUAAAACCUCCCAAUAUAUUUGGUUCAGAAUAACAAUCUGAAUCUAUAUGAUUGAUUCCUAUUUAAAAAGAAAUUGAUUAUAAAAAUAAUUAAAAUAACAUUAAAAUUAAAAUACAAAAUAUAAAAAUAAUUUAAUAUUGAGUUUGCACCUCGAAAUAUAAAAUUAAAUUUAUAAUUUAAAUUCAAACUAAAAGUUAAAUAUUAAAAAUUUACAUCAAAUGUAAUUUUUAAAAAAUUUAAAAUUUAAAAUUGAGUGGACAAUUUAAAAUAUCAAACUAAUUUUUAUUUGAGUCAGAUUAAACUUACAAUUAAAUUUAAAGUUAAAUUUAUAGAUCAAAUUCAAAAUGCUUGAUUGAGUUUAUAUUUUAAUUUAAUUUCUAAAUGAAAAUCUAGAAUUAAAAUUUAAAUUUUAAAUUUUAAAUUUAUGCUUUAAUUAAAAAUUAAACUCAAAAAAUUAAAUUAAAUUUUAAAUAAAAAAUAUAAAAUAUAAUCACGAUAUUUUUGUAAAGUAUAUUCUUUCCGUUUGAAUUUAACUUCCAAUCCGACCUAGGAGGUCCGAUUGGAAUAAGAGAUUUUCAUUCACUCAGGAAUCAAAAUCGAAAUAGGACUCUCGCAUAUCAAACACUCACAAACAGAAUUAUUCAUUCCGAUUUCGAUUCCUGAAUAAAGAAAGGCCGAACCAAACAUGUCCUAAAAGCAGAGUUUGAUUAAAAAUGAAUAAUUUUGAAAAAGCAAAUAAAAGCAUAGUUUAAUAAAAAAAUACGAGAAAACAAAAUAUUUCCAAAAUUUUAAUCUUUUAAAUUUAAAAAGGCUACUUACAAACAAUAGCUCCAUUUUUUAACAGUAGUUCCAGGCUACUCCGCGACAACAGUUUCACGGUACUUACAACACAUUCGUGUCUCUCUCUCUCUCUCUCUCUCUCUCUCUCUCUCUCUCUCUCUCUCCUUUUUCUUUUUUCCUAGGAAACUUACUACACUUUCUUUGAGAAGGAAGAAAAGUCAUCCAAUUGAAAAUUGAAACUUACUGGAAUCUGCAUCCAGCGACGUAGGUCCCUAAUGGUCACUUGUACUACAAUCUCUCAUAAGUUUCAACAAAAUUCUUGAGAUAUUCAUAGACCGAAUCUUACAUAGAUAGUUAAUAUACUAUAUUCAUAUUCUAUAGGAAAAAAAAAAAAAUCGUAUCCUACUCAAUUUUAAUUUCGAAACUGAUUCAUAUUCGAGUACUUAUAUUACUAAUGUACCUGAUGGGUCCAUCUAAGUAAGUUUGAGUAGUGACUACUAUUAUACUAUCCAAUUAAAAAUCGGAUAACCGACCGUCCCUAACGUAAGUGGCAAAGGGUUUGAUGGUUGGUACCCGAAGUCUUAAGUUCGAAUCUGCUGUGAGUCGAAUUUUCUGGUUUUUGACCUGGUCAAAGAUCUCCCUUGGAAAGAGCGUAGGAAUGUGAAACCGCCAUGAGUAGUGACCCUCGAAGUUUGCGCUCUUCGACUGGAUCAAGCGAUUCGGCUGAUGAGAGAUCGGAUUAGCCGAAUUCGAAAAUAUUUACUGUAAACUCGAUUCGGCUGAAAGAGCCGAAUGUACAGAAUGCAUAGUAUUUUGGGUCGGCUGAAGAGCUGAAUGCCUUUAUAUAUUAAACCGAAGUCGAAAACUAGUUUUCAUUUCCUUUUUCGGCUGAUGAGGGAUCGGAUCAGCCGAAUUCGAAAAUCUUUGCUGUAAACUCGAUUCGGCUGAAAGAGCCGAAUGUACGGAAUGCACAGUAUUUUGGAUCGGCUGAAGAGCUGAAUGCCUUUAUUUAUUAAACCGAAGUCAAAAACUGGUCUUCACUUCUCAACCGAUUCUUAUAUCGGUUCCACUGCAGCCGAUGGUCUUCAUUUCCUUUCCUGAAUUGCUCAUAUUGAGAAACUCGGACUCCCAGAUUGAAUAAAUUCAGAAAAUACUUAUCUUCAAAAUGGUCCUUUAUCUUGAAAUGUAAUCGAUUAAAUGCCAUUUUGGCAAAUUCAGAUUCUGACAUUCUUACAAAACAACGGCUUCUUGCCGUCUUGAAUCAGUUCAAAUAUUUUUCAACCGAUUCUCCUGUUCUUUGUCUGAACUGAGCUAGAUCAGCAACCGAAAGUUCCAGCUCUGAUCUGUAAAACUGUUCAUGAAAUUUUCUUUCCAAUUCGCCCCAAUUUCGGACAAAAUAGGUUGGUAGACUCGUAUACCAAGUGAAUGUAGUCUUGGUUAACGAGGUAUUAAACAACCUAAGCUUCAGGAAAGGAUUUGCAGCGGCUUCUCGGCAUUGUGCUGUAAACCACGCGACGUGCUCAACCGUAUUUUCGGUUUCGUCGCCUGAAAAUUUAUUGAAUUUCGGCAUUUUUCAAUUUACUGGAUAUGGAUGUUCUACAUCUAUAUUUGCAGGAUAAGGGGAUCUGAAUACAGGCCGCAUUGCCGGCCUUGCCCCUACUCCAAAAGUAUUUCUAAUAGCUUUCUCAAUCUGAGCAUAAAUUUUAUUAUUAUUCCCUUGUACGGGAACAAGUACCUGUACUUGACCUGGAUUCGGUCCUUGUGGUAAUCUGAAAUUUUGUGCCGUAGGAUUUAACCCCUACAUAUUCAGGGCUUGCCCCCCGGCCCUAGCCCCUACAUUUUGAGGCUGAUAUGUUGCCAGUGGCGGCGGAGGAGGUAACCCGCAGUCUAUUUCCGGCAUGUUGACUGGCAUUUAUAGCAACCGGUCUAUAAGCUGCUUGAAAAGGUGCCCCCUGCUGUUCGGGCUGACCGCUCACCGGUGUUACAGGAUUUUGUAAAAUCGGCGUAACUACAAGUCCUUGUAGACCUGUUACAGGCUGCUCGUUUCAAGUCAGUAAUUGCCCUAUUCGGACAAUAUUCUUAUUAGAGACCGUGAUUGCGGCCAAUACUGCAUCUAAACGAGCAGUACUCCUGUGACUAUUUUGAUCCAAUACUUGUAGGACCCGUGUCAUUUGCCCAAGCGCUUGAGCUAGACUUGGCUCUUAUUGGUCAGAUUGACCACUAGUCUCACCUUCAACCGGUAAGACGGCUUGCUGUUCACCUACAUUAUCAGAAUUGCUGGCUUGAUCGUUUUCGGAAUUUCAAGGAAUGACCCUAUUGCGCAAGUUCAUGACAUUAUCAUCAGCCAUUAGUUCUUGUAAGAGAAGAAAUUUACCUACAAUACGUGUCCCACCGGGCGUGUCAAAAAUUAUUGUGAGCCGAAUUUCCUGGUCCUUGACCUGGUCAAAGAUCUCCAUUGGAAAGAGCGUAGGGAUGUGAAAUGGCCAUGAGUAGUGACCCUCGAAGUUUGCGCCCUUCGAUUGGAUCAAGCGAUUCGGCUGAUGAGGGAUCAGAUCAGCGGAGUUCGAAAACCUUUGCUGUAGACUCGGUUCGGCUGAAAGAGCCGAAUGUACGGAAUGCACAGUAUUUUGGGUCGGCUGAAGAGCCGAAUGCCUUUAUAUAUUAAACCGAAGUCGAAAACUGGUACAAAAGAGUGUGCCCGUGGGGCAUACAGACUGCAGAGAUCUAACUUAAAAAUUACUUCUAGAAAAGACGGUAAAUGCGAAAAAAGAGAAGAUUAUAUGUAGACUACUCCUAAAAGAACGAUAAAUGCAGAAAGUAAAAAUAUUGAAAAUGUGGUGGUCAUCUCUUUCAUGGGAGAGAAAGAUCCCUAUUACAAGCUUCGAAGUUACUAUUUAUAGUGAUGUCUUCUCAGCCCACAUUAUUGGUCGGUUUUGAGUAGUGGGGGAGUGGUGUGUAACCAUGAUCGUAGAAAUUACGCCCCAUUUCUCAACCGUUCCCGCCUAAUUUUUGGCAUCAACAGAAUCCUGGUUGAUUCACAUUUCUAGCUAAGUUUAUUUCUAAAUGAAAUAAAUGAAGCAGGUAGCAUACUACCUAUCUCUCAAAAAGAAAUAAAAUAAAAUAAAAAUCGGAUAUAGGUUGGGUCUAUUGGGUGUGGGUACCCAUAUAUAUGUGUGUCAACCGUAUAAACCAUAAAUAUUUAUUACAUGAUAAAUUCAAUAUAAAAAUACAAAAAUUGCAAUCGUUACACACGCGCGCGCGCGCGCGCGCACACACACACACACACACACACACAUAUAUAUAUAUAUAUAUAUAUAUAUAUAUAUAUAUAUAUAUAUAUAUAUAUAUAGAGAGAGAGAGAGAGAGAGAGAGAGAGAGAAGGAGAGUAGGGCUACUGUGCUAUUAGGAGCACAUCAACCCUUAUGCUUCUAACUUUUAAUCACCCAUUAAGGUUGAUGGGUGGUUAGAAUGAGAAGGCAGGGAGGAGAUUUGAGGAGAAUUGGAUGUUUCAAUUUCUCAUCUACUUGAUUUCUCUUAAAUAUCUCCUCCCUCUCUCAUUCUAACCACCCUCAAAUUUGAUGGUGUUAGGAAUGUUAGAGAGCACAAGGGCUGCUGUGCUCCUAAUAGCACAGUAGCCCUACUCUCUCCUCUCUCUUCUCUCUCGUCUCUCUCUCUCUCUUCUCUCUUCUUAUAUAUACCUAUAUAUAUAAUAUAUAUAUAUAUAUAUAGAGUAGGGCUAAAAUACUUUUACAAGUAUCACCCAAGUGAUACUUAUGUGUUUUUAACCCUUGGAUCUACUUUGAUUACUAAUAGUCCUUGGAUCAAACACUAUUCCACCUACCACCACCUACACCACCUGUACACCAUCAUCAACUCAACAUCUCUCCAUCCAAGGGCUAAAAACAAUAAGUAUCACUUGGGUGAUACUUUUACAAGUAUCUAGCUCAACUAUAUAUAUAAUAUAUAUAUAUAUAUAUAUAUAUAUUAUAUAUAUAUAUAGAUAUAUAAAUAUAUUAUAUGCGAACACACCACAACCAAAUAUUAUUUAUAUAUUAUAUAUAUUAUAUUAUAUGUAUCUAUUAUAUAUAUUUAGUAGAGAGGGAGAGAGAGAGAGAUGAGGGAGUUAGGGUACUGUUGCGAUUAGGAGCACAUCACUUAUGCUUUGUAACUUUUUAGAUACAUUAAGUUUGAUGGGUGGUUGAAUGAGAGAGGGAUGAGAUAUUGAGGAGAAAUGGGAUGUUUCAUUUUUAUCUACUGGAUUUUUUAUAUCUCUCCUUCUCUCAUUCUAACCCCUCAAAUUUGAUGAGCGUGGUUAGAAUUUAGAGAGCACGGGUGCGUGUGCUACUAAUGCACAGUAGCCUACUCUCUUUCUAUCUCUCUCUUCUUCUCUCUCUCUUGCUAUCUCUCUAUUUUAUAUAUUAUAUAUAUUAUAUUAUAUAUGAGUAGGGUAAAUACUUUACAGUGCUACAGUGAUGUACUUUAUGUGUUUUUACACUUGGAUUAUUUUUGUUCUAUAGUCUUGGGAUCAACACUUUCCACGUACCACACUACCACCUACCACUUAUUCAACGAAUAUCUCAUCAGGGCUAAAACAUAGAUAUCUUGGGUGGAUACUUUUACAGUAUUCUGAUCACUUAUAUUUAUAUUAUAUAUAUUAUUAUUAUAUAUUAUAUAUUCUUAUAUUAUUAUUUAUUAUUCUAAGACUACAAUACAUUCACAUAAACAUUAUAAUUAAAAACGACGUUCUACGAGCAGAGUGGGAAGGCUGGUGUUGAUACCAGACAGGUUGAUCUGUUGAUUACAUUUCAGCUAAGGUUUUUCUAAUAAAAUACGAAGGGAUAGCGUGCUCAUCUUCAAAAAAAAAAAACAAUUAAUAUUAAAUUAUUAUUGUGAGUCCAAAUCAUCUAAAUAUAGUGUUAAAUACCAGACUAAUCAAUUUAUAUUAUAUUCAUGUCCACACAUGCAUUUAAUAGUAUAAUUAAAACAUUAUCAUAAGGGUAUAGAGAUCGUUUGGCCGAGUAAGCAAGUGGUUAUUCUAGCGAUUGUAUAUUGAGGGGUUAUAAGGGGGUUAGAUCCAAUUUUGUAUUUAGAAUGAAAUUGGAUUAUUUUGGAAAGAAAAAUAGCGUAUGUUGAUUAGGUAAGUAGAUAAGACGAUAGUGAAUUUUUAAUAAAAAUAAUAAUAUUACCUCUUAUUAUUAUUUGAAUUUGGAAUUUUUAAAUUUUAAAUUUAUAUUUUAAAUUAAAAUUUUAAUCUUUGAAAUUUCAAUUUGAAUUAAAAUUUAAAUUUAAAUCUCAAUUUUAAAUUUUAGAAUUUAAUUUUUAAUUCACUUUAAAUUUAAGUUAGGUAAAUUUAAAAAUAUAAAUAUAAAUUGUUAAUUUAAAAAUUAAAUGAUCAAAUUUAAAUUUGAAAUUAAAAUUAGAUUUUAUUAAAAUUUUAUUUGAGAUUAAAUUAUAAAUUUUAAAAUUAAGUUUUAAAAUUUUAAAUUUUAAAAUUUCUAAAAUAGAUUAAGGUGGGAACAAUUAAUAAAAAUAAUUUAUUAUAAUAAAUUUAUAAAUUUUUUUUAUAAUUCUACAUAAAUUUAAAUUUAGUAAAAAAAAUUUAUUAUACUAUUUAAAUAAAAUUUAUUAUAAUAUUUAAAUAUAAAUAAUAUUUAUUAAUAUAGUACAAUUAAUAAUUUAUAAUAAAAAUAAUGUAUUAUAAUAUGAGUUGGACUGGGCUACUAUUAGUAGCAAAAUCCCAUUGUUGCUUCCAGUUUUUUAGCCUUUGGAUCAACUCUUUUCAUUAUUUCUAACAAUUGGAUUAAAUAGUAUAACCCAAUAGAGACCACUCAACCCCAGGGGGACCACUCAACUCUAACCGACUAAUAUCAUCCUGACCCUAUAAUUUUUCAUUCAAGGGUUAAAAACUUGAUAGCAAAAAGAGCAUUUUACUAUUAAUAGUAUUCCAGCCUAAUUCAUUAUAAUAUAUAUAUAAUGUAGUAUACCAUAUGGGAUUGAGUUGGUAAAAGGGUCUUUUGGUCUUUUUCCUAUCCUUAUCUUUUCCACCGCUUUAUAUAGCUUUGAGAGGCAGAGAGAGGGAGAAUUUUUAUUUGCUAUUUCCUCUCUCUCAAGAUUGAAGUGGAGAGCAUGGUGGAGGCCAUGGUUGGAGCUUGGAGCGACGUCGACUUCGUGCCGGCGAGCCGUUGGAGCGUGCGUGCGUCGUGGUAGUGCCGUUGGAGGCCGAGCGAGCGCGGAAUUUCUUCUCCUAUCGACUUCUCGCUGUCAUGGAUUAGCUUUUGAGGUGGGUUAAUGUUUACCGAAAUCAUUGGAUUAUCUACUAAGUUUUAGUAUCGUCGACAUGUAUCGUUGGUUUAUUUUCUUGCUAGUACUCGAAUUCAUGGAUUAGGCUUAAAAUCUGAAUUUGGAGUUUAGCUAGUAGUAUAAUUUUACAUGUUGGACCUGAAAUUGACUUAGGAGAAAACUGUAGAUUCUACACCGUCAUUUUCUGAAAACUAUAAGAUUUAGCUUUAGGAGCUGUAGCUUGUUAGUAUCGCCGCAAUUGUAGGCGGUGGAUAUCCAGAAUAGUAUAGAAUAAAUUUACGCUCGUGCUGGGAUGCCGAGUGUAUUUUUACAGUAGUGUAUAGACUAUUCCGAACUGUCGGGUGUCGUUGCAGUUGACGGUGGACCCAGAUUGCUGUUUUUGCAUCAGAUUGUGCCGAGGGCAUAUUGAUUAUAGUUGUUAGACCAGUUAGACUCUUCUGUUUUGAUUACAGCCCGUGAGAGCCUGAUUGAGCUCGGCAGAGAUACGAUUGCAUACUCGGUUGGGUAGCACCCACGAGUGCCACUCCGGAGUCGGGCUUUGUGCGUUGCGUUGGUAUCGUUGUGUCCUGGUUGGACUCGCUCUCCACUGACUACCCAGCGUGGUGGUUGUUAGUGUAGCUUCGAUAGGUGGGACGGGUGUGUUCACAGUCCCUAGCUACUGGUAAUUUUGAAGAGAAACAGGGGGCCGCCUUCUAGACUUUCGCUUGAUUGGGUCGAGAGUUGAUUGUGUUUUGUAUCCGACCCUUGUUUUGCUUGUAGGUAGCUAUAUAUCGACGCCGAUAUCGACCGCCGAUGCGGGAUCGGGCUGCACCAUCAGAGAUGCCUGAGCCGGCAGAGCCGAGUGCACGGCCAGAGUCGAGCGCACCCCCAGAUCUGAGAGAGCACUUAGCUGCCCUGACUGAGGUGACGAGGCAGCAGGGGGCUUGUUGCAGAGGAUGUGUGAGACCUUAGCUCCGCCGUCCAGUGCAGUACCUAGAGCACCAGCGUGGUCAGUUCCACCGCCUAGUACUCCUGAGGCCGCACCAGCCGCAGCGGUACCCCCACCAGCGACAGUUCCUACGUCGCCACUUACACUCCCUAGAGAGGUGUCGCAGAUGUCAGAGGCUGAGUAGGAGCGGAUGACUGAGAGGCUGGCUCGUUUCCGCCGUCUUGAUCUGCCGACCUUUGAUGGCAGCUCCAUGGAGCCAUGGUUUGUAGACGGCUGGGGGAGCGUGAUGGAGAAACUAUUUGAGGACCUAUUUAUACCAGAGAGGGAGCAGGUACCCUUGGGAGUACACUACUUGGCUUGCGAUGCGCAUUCUUGGUGGAGGAGGAUGAGGCGAGACCGAGGGCUGGUAGCAAUGCAGAUAAAGUGGGAUGAGUUCUGCGGAAUGCUGUACGAGGUGUAUUUCCCAAACAGUGUGAAGCAGAAGCUCGAAGAGGAUCUCAAGAAGCUUCAGCAGGGGAAGCGAUCAGUUCAGAAGUAUACCCGUGAGUUUACUCGGCUUCUGAACUGUGUGCCCUUUGUAGCUAGGGAUGAGGCCCACCGAGUAUAUCUGUUUGAGAGAGGCUCGAGACCCGAGAUUUUUCGGUUGGUACAGGCGCAGAGGUUGAGGACAUUGGAUGCAUCUAUUGAGCAGGCUUUAUGGGUGGAGAGAGGUGAUGUGUCGAUUCGUGAGCGAGCUCAGGUGCCAGUGCAGAGUCAGGAUAGGAAGCCCCCGGUUCCAGAUGACGGAGGACAGUCAAGCAGCAAGCGUCUGUCGAGGCCUCCACGAUUACGCUCUCAGGGUCAUGAGUCUUCGGGGCGUCAGCGUUCUAGAAAAUCUCAUUAGCAGGGACACUCGCAGGGGACGCCACAGUGUGUGAUUUAUGGGGGACCACACUGGCCCCGACAGUGUGAGCAGAGAGAGGGCCGAUGCUACUGAUGUGGACAGUCUGGACAUAUGAGGGCAGCGUGUCUCCGAGCAGCAUCACCAGCACUAUCGACGGUGUCAGCAUCGCCGGCGCCUCAGCAGUCUUAUGGAGCAGCAUCGAGUCACCGCGAGGAGGACGAGCGUCUAUGCUGCGACAGGGUGAGCGGCGACAGCAAGCCCCGAGUGGCAGGAUGUAUGCAGCACAGAUGGAGGACUCUACAGUAGCCGACCGGGUGGUGACAGGUAUCAUUUUGAUUUCUGGUGUUAAAGCUCGUACCCUUCUUGAUACCAGUGCAUCACAUUCUUUUGUUAGCCGAGCAUUUGCAUUACUGCAUGGUCUAGAGGUAGGGUCGUUGUUGUAUGCACGAGAGGUGCAGAUUUUCGACCAUGUUUUGUAGGUAGCAGAGUAUUGUUGGUCAUGUCCGAUGCAGUUAGACUCUUGGAUUAUGCCCGCAGACUUGUUGGUCUUAGGGCAGCUGCAGGACUUUGAUGUUGUGUUUGGCAUAGAUUGGCUGACGCGGUACUAUGCUACGAUAGACUGUGGAGCGAGGACGGUGGCGUUCCGCGAGCCAGGCCAGAAGGAGUUCACGUAUAUAGGCUGCAGGAGUACGUUGUUUGCCGCUUGGAUAUCGUCGGCGAGGGCUCGACAGCUAAUGAGUAGAGGAUGUAUCGCUUUUUUGGUGACGGUUGUGGAGGUGCCUAUGGCGACGCCGGGACUCGACCCUAUAGUCUGCGAGUUUUCUAAUGUUUUUUCCCCGGAGUUGACGAUGAUGCUGCCGGAUAGAGAGAUCGAGUUUGUGAUUGAUGUAGUUCCUGGAACUGCACCAAUUUCGAAGGCACCCUACUGGAUGGCACCGGCAGAGCUGAGAGAGCUAAAGGCGCAGCUUCAGGAUCUGAUGGAUAAGGGGUAUGUGAGACCCAGUGUAUCGCCUUAGGGAGUGCCCGUGUUAUUUGUGAAGAAGAAGGAUGGUCCACUUAGGCUGUGUGUGGAUUAUUGGGAGCUAAAUAAAGUGACCAUUAAGAACAAGUAUCCUUUACCAUGCAUCGACGAUCUGUUCGAUCAGCUGCAAGGAUUUUGUGUCUUUUCGAAGAUUGACCUCCAGUCAGGUUACCACCAGUUGAGGGUGAGGGCCGAGGAUGUUCCCAAGACAUCUUUUGGGACUCGGUACGGGCAUUAUGAGUUCACUGUUAUGCCUUUUGGAUUGACGAAUGCCCCUGCCGCAUUUAUGGACCUGAUGAGUAGAGUGUUCAAGCCGUACUUGGAUAGAUUUAUGGUUGUGUCUAUUGAUGAUAUUUUGGUAUACUCCCGGAAUGAUGCUGAGCAUGAGGAGCAUUUGAGGAUUAUGCUACAAUUUCUGAUGGAGAAGAAGUUGUAUGCUAAGCUGAAGAAGUGCGAGUUUUGGCUUCAGGAGGUCUCUUUCUUGGGCCAUGUGAUUUCUGCAGUUGGAGUAGCAGUUGACCCGAAGAAGAUUGGUGCUAUUUGGGAUUGGCCCAGACCGACGACGGUGAUUGAGGUGAAGUGUUUUCUUGGACUAGCUUGAUAUUACCGUCGGUUUGUGGAAGACUUUACGAAGCUUUCCGCACCCCUCACUCGAUUGACUCGAAAGAAAAUUAAGUUUCUUUGGAGUGAGAAUUGUCAGAGGAGCUUUGAUGAGUUGAGACAGACGUUGAUGUCGGCUUCUAUCCUUGCCCUCCCAGUUAUGGGGGAAGGAUUUGUGAUUUACAGUGAUACAUCGCAUAGUGGAUUAGAUUGUGUGCUGAUGCAGUAUGGUAGGGUAAUUGCUUAUGCUUCACGGCAAUUGAAGGAUUACGAGAAAAAUUAUCCUACGCAUGAUUUGGAGCUAGUUGCUGUGGUCUUUGCUUUGAAGUUGUGGCGGCACUAUUUGUAUGGCGAGCACUGUGAGGUUUUCACUGAUCAUAAAAGUCUCAAGUAUCUAUUCACCCAGAAGGAGUUGAACCUGAAGCAGCGCCGGUGGUUGGAGUUGUUGAAGGACUAUGACGUUAGUAUCAGUAUCACCUUGGCAAGGCGAAUGUGGUGGCAGAUGCGUUGAGCAGGGAGGCAGUGCAGAGCUUGAGCAUGUUGAUUACUCAGCAAAGGCCGUUACUUGAAGAGCUGCCGCGGUUGAGACUGGAGGUAGUGUCCCUUGGGUCUACUGCAAGACUGAUGUCUUUGGUCUUGCAGCCCACCCUGUUGGGCAGGAUCAGGGAGAAACAGAUUGGAGACUCUCAUUUGUUGAGGAUUCGAGAGCAGCUAGAGAGGGGACAGGCAGAGGCUUUUUCUAUGGACAGUUCGGGAGUACUGCAGUAUAGGGACCGACUAUGUGUGCCUAUGGAUUCAGAGAUUCGAGAGGAGAUAUUAAGAGAUGCUCACUAUUCACCUUAUGCGGUUCAUCCUGGUGGAACAAAGAUGUAUAAGAACUUGGAAGCACACUUCUGGUGGAAUGAAAUGAAGAGAGACAUUGGCAGAUUUGUAGCUCAGUGUUUGACUUGCCAACAGAUAAAGGUAGAGCAUCAGAUACCUGCUGGCAAGUUUCAAAGUCUGUCAGUGCCCGAGUGGAAAUGGGAGCAGAUCACGAUGGACUUUGCCGUGGGUUUAUCGAGAGCACAUAGUGGUUUCGAUGCUAUUUAGGUAAUAGUGGACAGACUGACCAAGUCUGCUCACUUCCUACCAGUACAGACCACUUGGUCCAGGGAGAGACUAAUUAAGUUAUAUCUGGAUGAGGUUGUGAGAUUGCAUGGUGUGCCAAUCUCAAUAGUAUUAGAUCGAGACCCGAGGUUCGUUUCGCACUUUUGGAGGAGUCUUCAGACAGCCUUAGGUACACAGUUGCAUUUCAGCACGGCGUUUCACCCACAGAUAGAUGGUCAGUCUGAGCGGACCAUUCAGACUCUGGAGGACAUGCUAAGGGCAUGUGUCCUGAACUUUGGAGGAGGGUGGCAUUGAUAUUUGAGACUGGCUGAGUUUGCGUACAACAACAGCUAUCAAACGAGCAUUCAGAUGGCUCCGUUUGAGGCGUUGUAUGGACGUAGGUGUCGAUGCCCUUUACAUUGGAGUGAUGUGGGUGAAAGAAAAACUUUGGGGCCUGAGAUUCUGAUAGCGGUUGAGGAAAAGGUUAAAGCUGUACGACGUCACCUUUUGACAGCUCAGAGUGGACAGAGGAGCUACGCCGAUACCAGGAGACGAGACUUAGAGUUCCAGGCUGGAGAUCAUGUGUUUCUGAAAGUCUCGCCGUCCAGAGGUAUACGCAGAUUCGGAGUGCGUGGAAAGCUCAGUCCACGCUUUGUAGGCCCUUUUGAGGUAUUCGAGCGAGUUGGACCAGUAGCCUACAGGAUUGCUUUACCCCCAUGACUGGCCGGUAUUCAUGAUGUUUUCCACUUCUCGGCAUUGAGGAGAUAUGUGUUCAACCUUUCACACGUGAUUGAGUUCACUCCACUGGAGCUUGGUGAGGACUUGAGAUAUGAGGAGCGACCGGUGCGGAUUCUUGCUCAUGAGAUGAAAGAAUUGCGCAACCGGAUUAUACCUUAUGUAAAAGUGCAGUGGAGUCAUCGCAAGGAGCGUGAGAUGACGUGGGAGCCAGAGACGGUGAUGCGGGAGUCCUAUCCUUACUUGUUUGAUACUCAGGAUUGAGGUAUGUGUUAAGUUUCGAGGAUGAAACUUUUUGUAGUCAGGGAGAAUGUAGUAUACCAGAUGGGAUUGAGUUGGUAAAAGGGCCUUUUGGUCUUUUUUCCAUCCUUAUCUUUUCCAUCGCUUUAUAUAGCUUUGAGAGGCAGAGAGGGAGAAUAUUUAUUUGUUAUUUCCUCUCUCUCUAGAUUGAAGUGGAGAGCACGGUGGAGGCUACGGUUGGAGCUUAGGGCGACGUCGACUUCGCGCCGGUGAGCCGUUGGAGCGUGCAUGCGUCGUGGUACUGGGUGAGCCGUUGAGGUCGGUAGCGGUACCCACUGAGGACUACUUCUUUUUGCAGUAGUUCUCACAUCCGGUUGUUGAACCCUUUUUGCAGAGCCUUCUUCUUCGGCUGCUGCUGUUGCGGAUACUGAUCGUGGAAAGGGAGUCGCAAGUUAGAUCCCUUCCCGUUUUGCUGCUGAUCUAGAGAUAUACCCGCAACAGGUAGUGUUGGUUUUUGGUUCUUGUACAUACUGAUGUUAGAUCCUCGCUGGAGCGAGUGUUUAUGUAUCUGGAGACUAUGUAUGUAUAGAGAAUCUGAUGUUAUUUAUAUAUGUUUUUCACUUUAGCAGCUCUAUACUACUAGUUGUAGUUUUGUAUGAUUACAUGUAUAGGUACAGCUAUCGCUUUGUAUACAGGAAAAAUUUUCUUGUAUACGUCGGAUUUGUCGGCGUGCCCGGAGAAACGAGUAAUCCAGGGCGUGACAUAUAACAUAUUAUAUUUAUAUAAUUUAGUUUUAAUGCAAUUUAUAAUUUUAAUUAAGUUUGAAAUUAAGUAUUGGAAUAGCAAUAUUCCACCAAAAUUGUGGAAUAGCAAAUCCCUUGCUAUUCCGGGAUAAUCGGGAAUAGUAAGGUUUGAUCGGGAUAAAAUAUCCCGGCAACAAAUCUCCCUGUUUGGCUGAAUAGCGGGGAUAACUUUUGUUAUUCUUGCUUAUCCCCGGAACCAAACGGGGUCAUAGAGAGCAAGUCUAAAACAUUAUAGUGAAGAGAUAAGUGUCAAGUUUUUUUUUUUUUUUCCCCUCUUAUCUUUAACUUUUGAUGGUUGGAUAUUUACUAGGUCUAGGUGUAAUUCGGAUAUGAAAAUGAUUCCGGACCUUACCCACCAAAUUAAGGAUUGGGUUUGGGUCGGGUCCAAGUAGGUAUGGGUACGAUAUAUUCGGACUCAUACCCAACACUUUAAUGGAUAUAUUUUUUUUUUACCCAUAUACCGCCCACUUUUAAUCAGUUGGAUCAAAUCUGACUCGGGUUUGGAUAGGGACUAGUGCCGAUACGUGAUAUUCGGUAUUUUGAACGUCUCUAAAAAAUACUAGUCGGAUGCUCCCUCCUAGAGUAAAAUUUUGAAGUUAUAAUUUUAUAAUUGUUGAUUCAGUCCCAAGAAAAUUAGUUGGGAGCUCCUUGGGAGGAGAGAUGUUAAUGGAUCCAGAUUGGUAGCGAUUUUGCCCUAAUCCAUCCUAAAUGGGAAGUAAGUUGCGAUUUUUGGCCUUUUUAAUGUUUUAAAGGACAUUGUUGACAACUCAUUGAGUUUUGGGCCUAGUCCCCAAAAGAGAGAGAGGGAGAAAGAGAGAGAGAGAGCAAGGUCUGUAAAUGAUUUUAGGCCUAUUUAUCUUGUUAAUAGAAUAGAAAAGAUCUUAUCCAAAGAACUCGCCAACAGAUUUGAAGGUGUUAUGAAAGAGGUCAUCUCCCCCUCUCAAGUAGCUUUUGUACAAGGUCGGUUAAUCUCGGACUCCUUCGCAACUACUAGCAAGCUUGUUAGCUAGUGCUCAAAAGUAGGACAGGAAAGUUGUCCAAAUUAAAGGUGAUUUUGAAAAAGCAUAUAAUAGAGUGUCUUGGCAUUAUCUAUGAAAGAUCAUAAGGUGGCUUGGGGUGAACCACAAGUGGUGUGGUUGGAUUGAAUAAUGUAUUUUCAAUGCCAAAAUCACAACCCUCUUUAAUGGUAUUUUCUCAAAAUAGAUCAAAGUUAAAAGGGGUUUACGCCAGGGUGAUCCUCUGUCUCCUUAUCUCUUUCUGUUGAUAGUGGAAAUUAACAAUAAUCCAAUAUACCGACAACACAAUCUUUUUUUGCGAGGCUAAGAAAAGGCAAGUGAAAAACUUUCUAGUCGUGUGGCAACUAUUUAAGUGGGCAUUAGGUUUGAAUAUAAAUAAUUAGAGAAGGGCAUUAAGGUGAGAGGUUAGUUGAGAGCAUAGGAUGCAAAUUUGGAAUUUUCCUAAUCAGCUAUCUUGAACUACUCCUCAUAAACGGAUGACUUUGAAUGGAUGACUGAUGGACUAUUAUAAGUAAAAUUGAAAAGUAGAUUGAAAGGUGGUAAGCAAAACUCCUUUCACAAGGAGGCAGACUCAUUCUUGUGAAUUCUGUUAUCUCGAAUUUAAUUUAUAUGUUUUUUUCCAAUGUUUAGAACUCCCAAAUGGAUUUUAUGACCUAUUGAAGCCCUUCAUAGAGCUUUUUUCUGGAAGGGAGGAUCUUAUAGUAGCAAGGGACAUUGCUUCAUGUGCUGGAAGUCGGUUUGUAGGAGCAGAAAGGAAGGAGAGCUAGAAAUUUCUAGAGAACAUGAAUUUAGUCUUUUUGGCAAAAUGGUGGUGGAGGUUCUUCUCGGACCAUCAGUGACGCCCCUAAAUGAAAGCCUAUAUUACUUUCAGAGGAGACCACGUAGAGUUUCUUUCAGACCCUACUCAUAGUGGUGACGGAAUAUUUUGGUGACUAGAUAUAUAUUUAAGAAUAGAGUUACUUACAUGAUUGGUGAUGGAAGUAGAGUGUGCUUUUUGUUGAACAUUUAGUAUGGGUGCUCCUCUCUAAUGUACUCCUAAACCUAUGCAUCUUUAAUGAAGUGGUCAGCAAAAAUUGAGAGACUGUUUCGGAGUUAACAGGUGGAAGUAGUAUAAGAUUUUGUUAGGCUUUGUUCCAAGCUCGCAGGAUAAUAAAGAUUUGAUCCUGAGCUAAAAGAAUUGAUAUCUUAAAUCUCGUAGUUCAAUAGAACAAGUGAAGUUAGAUAGAGAUGGGUAUGGUUCGAAAAGUUCUUGGUCAAAUCACUUUAUUAGUUCCUACAAGGUGGUGGUGUUCAAGUCAGGAGUUUUGUAGCGCCAUAGAAGAUCCAUGCACCUCUACAAGUUAAAACUUUUAUUUGGCUAGUUUUGAAACAAAAGGUGCUAACAGUAGAUAACCUAUAGAAAGGGAUUGAUAUGAGGAGGAAUGCUGUGUUCUCUGCAUGGGAGAGCUAGAGAUGGUUGACCACCUUUUUGCAAUCUGCAAAAUUACUAAACUUCUAUUGGCAGGUCUUUUGUCUAAUAAGACGUUCAUACAAGUUAGCAAUUCAGUUGACGAGCUUUGGAAAGUUAGCCGAAUCAAAAGGUGUUGCUUUAGAGACAAGAAAGCUAUCGACAAUCGCCGCUACCUGGUGGGUUUGUUGGUUAGAGCAGAAUAGAAGAAUUUUUAAAGAAUAAAGCUCACCACAAGAUAAAUAUUGGUAGAGAUUUGUUCCUGCAGGAAAUUGUGGGAUACGUUCGGAUCACAAGGGAUGUAUAGAAGAACUUUUUUUUUUCUUUUUUUUGAGGCUUGGUUACCUCACCAUGUAGUCUGGUUCUGGUUCAUAUUUUAAAUGAAUGAAGUUAUAGUAUUGUAGUGUCCCUGGGGUUUAGCUGUCUGAGUGACUGUAGCAUCUGUGGCUUGUCGACACGUCUGGAGAGUGUCGGGACGAGUCAGAGUCAUUUUUGCGCGAAAUUGACGCGGAAACGGACUCGGCGUAGUGCAAGUUGGAGUUCUGACCCUGAAAUCUGCAGAGUGCAGGAUUUCAGUGUUGAGUACCGAUACCUAGGUUGGGUGCCGAAACCCCAGAGGGAUUACACAAAAAGGGAGCUCUCGGGUUUGCGCAUUUCAGUGCUGAGUACCGGAACCUGUUGUUGAGUAUCGGUACUGGGACUGAGUACCGGUACUGCAUCGAGCGAGUACCGGAAUCCAGUGCGCGAACUAUACUAGCUGGCGUGCCGAGUGCCGGUAUCACCGUUGUUAGUGCGUAGUGGAUACUCAGAUUAGUGUAGCUUGAGGUUAAGCUCGUCUUGAGGGGUCGAGCUUGUUUUUACAGUAGGGUUUGGACUGUUUUGUACUGUCGGGAGCUGUAGCUGGUUGACGGUGGACUCAGAUGUUUACAUCUUGUUUCAGAUUGUGCCGAGAGCACGCGAGUUUUGGUUGUUAGACCAGUUUGACCCAUUUGUAUUGACUAUAGCCUAUGUGAGCCUGAUUGAGCUCGAUAGAGACACGCUUGCAUACUUGGUUGGGUCGCUCCCACGAGUGUAGCUUCGGAGUGAGGCUUUACUUGCGUUGGUGUCGCAGCAGUUCCGUUUGGGCAGUUCUUGGAUCGGCCACCCCUAUGGGUGAUGUGCGGUGUAGCUCGAGUACAGGCUGGACGGGCCAGUUGGCAGUCCCUUGAGAUUGGGUCAGUGUGUAGCUAGUGAUGCAUUUCUGUGUCUACAGUGAGCCUGGUUGGAAUGGCUGUAGUAUAGUGGCAUAUAGCUGUAGAGUUUCUUCCAGCUUUCUUACUAUCCUUUACCUAUGUUCGUCUUACUUGUACUGUAGACUUAGUGGGUGGGCUGUUGAGGUCGGUGACGGUACCCACUGAGGACUACUCUGUUUUGCAGUAGUUCUCACACCCAGUUGUUGCCACCUUUUUGCAGAGCCGUCCACUGCUGCUGCUGUUGCUGAUUCUGACCGCGGUAAGGGAGUCGCGAGCUAGAUCCUUACCAUCCUUGGUCGCUGUGUUAGAGGAGUACCCUGCUGAGGUAAUUUUGGGGUUUGUAUGUACAUACCGUUAUGUUGUUGUACUCGCUGAAGUGAGGUUGUGCCCUGACUUUUGUACGUACAGUAGACCCUCUUUGUUUAUAUACAUGUUUUAGUUAGCAGCUCUUUACCUCUUGUGUAGCUAUAUCUUGUUUACAGGUACAGCUAUUGCUUCGUAUACUUAGAAACUUUCUAUGUAUACGACGGGUCUGUUGGCGUGCCCGGGGAAACGUGGUAAUCCGAGGCGUGACAGAUUAAGUUGGUAUCAGAGCUUAAAUUGGUCGUUGGGAGCUAGAAAAUCCUAGGCUUGGUAGACCUCAGGAAGGCAAGACGCAAGAGGCAUGACUUAUUGCGAAAGUCGGCGAUUGAGUUGUUUUAACUCCUCCUGGAGUGGAGGGAGUGACUGAAGGAGUAUCUGUUUCUGCCAGAUAAAUUAUGCCAGCUAUAGAUGGCAUACUUUUGCGGAGGAACAGAGGCGGCCUUCUAGACUUUCGCUUGAUUGGGUCGAGAGUUGUUUGUGUUUUGUAUUUGACCCUUGUUUUGGUUUCAGGUGGCCAUGAGGCCGUAUCGAUGCCGAGGUCGACCGCCGAUGCGGGAUCGUUCGGCGCCACCGGAGAUACCGGAGCAGGCGAGACUGAGUGCAACCGUGGAUUUGAGAGAGCAAUUAGCUGUCUUGACCGAGGUGACUAGGCAGCAGGGUGUGUUACUGCAGAGGAUGUGUGAGACAUUUCCUCAACAGUCGAGUGCCACGCUCGGAGCGUCAGAGCUGCAGGCGCCACCCCCGACUACCCCAGUGGCCGCACCAGCCACAGCUAUGCCCCCACCAGCGACAGCUCCUACAGCCCCAAUUGCACCUACUGGAGAGGAGUCACAGAUGUCAGAGGCGGGACAGGAGUGGAUGAUUGAGAGGCUAGCUCGUUUUUGCCGUUUCGAUCCGCCUCACUUCGAUGGUAGUCGCACCGAGCCCUGGGUUGUCGAGGCGUGGGUGAAUGCGAUGGAGAAGCUGUUUGAGGACCUUUUUGUACCGAAGUGGGAGCAGGUACAUCUGGCAGUACACUGUUUGGUAGGUGAUGUGCAUGCCUGGUGGAGGAGGAUGCGGCAGAACCGAGGUUUGGAUGCGCUACAAAUGAUGUAGGAUGAGUUUUGGGGGAUGCUGUACGGGGCCUAUUUCCCAAACAGCGUAAAGCAGAAACUCGAGGAGGAUCUGAAGAAGCUGCAGCAGGGGGAUUAGUAAGCACAGGAGUAUACACGAGACUUUACCAAGCUUCUGAACUGUGUGCUGUUUUAGCCAGGGAUGAGGCUCAUAAGGUCUAUCUGUAUGAGAGAGGAUUGAGGCCAGAGAUCUUUGUUUUGGUUCAAGCGCAGAGGUUGCGGACCUUGGAUGCGUUGAUUGAGCAGGCACUGUGGAUGGACCGAGGAGCUGUAUCGGUUCGUGAGCAGGCUACGGUGCCGGGACAGACUGAGGACAGGAAGCACCUGGUCCCAGAUGAUGAAGGACAGACCAGUGGCAGACGUAUGCCUAGGCCUCCACGAUCACGGUCUCAGGGUCGUACGUCUUCGGGGCGAUAGCGGUCUGGUGGACCCCGUCAGCAGCGUCAGUAGCAAGAGGCUCCACGAUGUAUCAUUUAUGGGGGACCACACUGGCCUUGACAGUGCGAGCAGAGAGAGGGCCGGUGUUUUGGAUGUGGCCAGUCAGGGCAUCUGCGGGCAGCUUGUCCCCGAGCAUGAUCACCAACACCUUCGACGGCGUCGGCCCCGCCGGUACUUCAGCAGACUUUUGGAGCACACUGAGCUAUAGCUAGGCUGACAGGGCUUCAAUGUCGCGGUAGAGUGAGCAGCGACAACAGGCGCAGAGCGACAGAGUUUAUGUGGCUCAGGUUGAGAACUCCACAUCAGCAGAUCGUGUGGUGGCAAGUAUUAUUUUGAUUUCGGACAUUAGAGCUUGUGCAUUAUUUGAUACUAGUGCAUCACAUUCUUUUAUUAGUCGAGCAUUUGUAUCAUUGCAUGGACUAGAGAUAGGGCUACUGUUACGUGCACGGGAGGUGCAGAUUCCCGACCAUGUUUUGCAGGUGACAGAGUGUUGUUGGGCUUGUCCAGUUCAGUAGGGACCCUGGAUUAUGCCUGCAGAUCUGUUGGUCUUAGGGCAGUUACAGGACUUUGAUGUAGUGCUUAGCAUGGAUUUGCUGGCUCGGUACUAUGCCACGAUCGACUGUGGAGCUAGAACAGUGACGUUCCACGAGCCAAGCAAGGAGGAGUUCACUUUUAGAGACUGCAGGAGUACGCUAUUCGCCACCUGGAUCUCUUCUGCGAGGGCUAGACUGAUGAUGAGUCGAGAAUGCAUCACUUUCCUGGGGAUGGUAGUAGAGGUGAUUACGGUGGUACCGAGAUUCGAGGAUAUCCCUAUAGUUCGUGAGUUUCCGGAUAUUUUUUCUCUUGAGUUGACGACUAUGCCGCCGGACAGGGAGAUUUGAGUUUGUGAUUGACGUGGUUCCGAAAACUGCGCCAAUCUCGAAGGCACCUUAUCAAAUGACACCGGCGGAGCUGAGGGAGGUUAAGGUGCAACUUCAAGAUCUGAUGGAUAAGGAGUAUGUGAGACCCAGCAUGUCGCCUUGGGGAGCACCGCUGUUAUUCGUGAAGAAGAAAGAUGGUUCACUUAGACUGUGUGAGGAUUACCGGGAGUUGAAUAAAGUGACCAUCAAGAACAAGUAUCCUUUCCCGCGCAUUGAUGACAUGUUUGAUCAGCUGCAAGAAUCUUGUGUCUUUUCGAAGAUUGAUCUGUAGUUAGGUUACCACCAGUUGAGGGUGAGGACCGAGGACAUUCCUAAGACGGUUUUGAGGACACGAUACGAGUAUUAUGAGUUUACAGUGAUACCUUUUGGAUUGACUAAUGCUCAUGCCGCUUUUAUAAAUUUGAUGAAUCGAGUAUUUAAGCCGUUCUUGGAUAGAUUUGUGGUAGUGUUCAUUGAUGAUAUUCUGAUUUACUCCCGUAGUGAUAUUGAGCACGAGGAGCACUUGAGGAUGGUAUUACGGCUUCUAAGAGAGAAGAAAUUGUAUACCAAGUUGAAGAAGUGUGAGUUUUGGUUUCGGGAGGUUUCUUUCUUGGGCUACGUGAUUUCAACAGUUAGAGUGGCAAUUGACCUAAAGAAAAUUGAUGCGAUUCGGGAUUGGCCCAGACCGACGACGGUUACCGAGGUGAGGAGUUUUCUUGGAUUGGUUGGUUAUUAUUGUCGGUUCGUGGAAGGCUUCGCGAAGCUUUCCACACCCCUCACUCGACUGACUCGUAAAGGAAUUAAGUUUAUUUGGAGUGAGGAUUGUUAGAAGAGCUUCGAUGAAUUGAGGCAGAGGCUGAUAUCGGCGCCUAUUCUUACCCUGCCAUUUAUGGGGAAAGGAUUUGUGAUCUUCAGUGAUGCAUCCUAUAGUGGUUUGGGUUGUGUUCUGAUACAGCAUGGUAGGGUAAUUGUUUAUACUUCCCGGUAGCUGAAGGAUUAUGAGAAGAAUUACCCUACGCAUGACUUGGAGCUUGCCGCUGUGGUGUUUGCUCUAAAGUCGUGGUGGCAUUAUCUGUAUGGUGAGCACUGUGAGAUCUUUACAGAUCAUAAAAGUCUUAAGUAUCUGUUCACCCAGAAGGAGUUGAAUCUGAGACAAGGUGGUUGGAGUUAUUAAAGGAUAAUGAUAUCAGUAUUCAGUAUCACCCCGGCAAGGCGAAUGUGGUGGCAGAUGUGCUGAGCAGGAAGUCGGUGCAGAGUCUUAGUAUGAUGAUUACUCAGCAGAGGCCGUUACUUGAGGACUUGCAGCGGUUUGGACUUAAGGUGGUGUCUGCUGGGACCACUGCGAGACUGAUGUCUAUGGUCUUGCAACCCACUCUAUUGGACAGGAUUAGGGAGAAAUAGAGUGGAGACUCUUAGUUGUUGAAGAUUCGGGAGUUGAUAGAGAGGGGACAGGUAGAGGAUUUCGCUGUGGACAGUUCGGGAGUACUGCGGUACAGGGACCGACUAUGUGUGCUUAUGGAUUCAGAGAUUCGAGAGGAGAUUUUGAGAGAGGCUCAUUCCUCGAAUUAUACGGUUCACCUUGGUGGAACCAAGAUGUAUAAGAAUUUAAAGGCACACUUCUGGUGGAAUAGAAUGAAGAGAGACAUUGGAAGAUGUGUAGCUCAGUGUCUGACUUGCCAACAGGUGAAGGAGGAGUAUCGUGUAUCUGCUGGCAAGCUUCAGAAUCUUCCAGUGCCAGAGUGGAAAUGGCCGGGAUCAGAUCACCAUGAACUUUUUCGUGGGUUUACCGAGAGUAUAGACUGACCAAGUCUGCCUAUUUCCUACCGGUGCAGACCACCUGGUCCAGGGAGCGACUCGCCGAGUUAUAUUUGGAUGAUGUAGUGAGGUUGCAUGGUGUGCCUACCUGGAUUGUAUCAGAUAGGGACCCGAGGUUCGUCUCGUGUUUUUGGAGGAGCCUUCAGAUUGCUUUGGGUACGUAGCUUCACUUCGGUACGGCCUUUCAUCCACAGACAGAUGGUCAGUUGGAGCGGACCAUUCAGACUCUAGAGGACAUGUUGAGAGCUUGUGUCCUGGAUUUUAGAGGAGGGUGGUAUCGACACUUCAGAUUGGUUGAGUUUGCGUACAACAAUAGCUAUCAAGCGAGCAUUCGAAUGGCUUCGUUUGAAACGUUGUAUGGACGCAAGUGUCGAUCUCCUUUGCAUUGGAGUGAUAUGGGUGAGAGAAAGAUUUUGGGCCCUGAUAUUCUGUUGGAAGUAGAGAAAAAGGUCAGCGAAUUGCGAUGACAUCUUGAGACCGCCCAGAGUCGACAGAAGCUUAGUUAGUUAAUUCGCGAUUAUAACGCGAAUUUUUAAAUAUACGAAUUAAACGGCCCCGUUCCGUAUUUUUUCGAAAAGUUCGAAAAAAAACGCGAUUUCUUCGUCAAAAAAAAUUGUUCGCGAAUUAUUCGCGAUUCGCGAAUUAUUCGACCAAAAAAACGACGCUCGCGGUCGCGGAUUCGCGGCCGAGGGUCACGUCGUCGCCGCGCUCGUGGUCGUCACCGUGCUCGUGGUCACGGAUUUGCGGCCGAGGGUCGCGUCGUCGCCGCUCUCGUCGCCAAACUCGUCCGGAUCGUCCUUCUCCUCCUCCGCCGCCCUGGCCGGCGCCGGGAGCAAGAGCCGCGCUCGUGGCCGUCCGCGGAAAAAUGGAAGAGGAACAGUGGAAAAAUAUUGGGGCUUUUGGAGGUGCAAUUGUGCGUGGUCCACGAGGCCACUUUGUGGCCUCAUGGACCGCAUGAGAGGGAGGUCCACGGUGGACCUCCCUCUCAUUAAUCAUUAUAUAUAUAUAUAUAUAUAUAUAUAUAUAUAUAUAUAUAGAGUGAGGCUACUAUGCUUCUGGAAGCACGGAGCCCUCCGUGCUUCCAGGUCGUUUUCGAUGUUUCGACUUUCGAAUCGUUGAUCGGUUCCGUUAAACUUGAUCUAGAGUAUCUGAAGUACUUAGAAAAUAAAUUUUAUGAUUUUUCAAUAUCAUUUGCCUAGUGAUCGAAGGGGCUCAAAAUCAAAUAAUUUUAAUGGCCAUAGUGAGCCGUUUGCAAGUUUAACGGUGUAGAAAUAUCCAAAUCACGUGAAAUUUUGAUAGAAAGUUCUUUAUACUAUAUAAAAUAAGAUCAAUAUCUUUGAUCUAAAAAUUAAUGUCAAUUACACGUAUUUGUAAGAUUUUACUUUUCAGCCGUUGGAUUUGAGCCCUUCGUUCAAUUAGCAAAACUACUAUCGAAAAAUUACAAAUUUAUUUUCUAGGUACUUCAAAAUACUCUAAUCAAGUUAAUGCCAGCCGCUCGACGAUCGAAAGUCGCAGUCACAUCGAAAACUCGGGACUCUGGAACACGAAGGCUCCGUGCUUACCAGAAGCAUAGUAGCCUCAUUUAUUUUUUAUAUAUAUAUAUAAGUAUAUAUAUAUAUAUAUUAUUAUAGCAUAUAUAUAUAUAUAAUAUAUAUAUAUAUAAUUUAUUUAUAAUAUAUAUUAUUUAUUUAUUAUAUAUAUUUUUGAUUAAAAUAUAUAAUUAUUCUUAAAUUCUAAUACAUAACUCUUAUAAAUUAUAUUAAUAUUAUUAACAUUGAAAUAAUUUAAUUUAAUAAACAGAGAUAAAAAGUAAUAAUAUAUAUUAGUAUAUAAUUAUAUAAUAUUUAUUAUGAAAACCGAAUUUUGAUUGCGAUUUUAAUGUAACUAUACAUAUCCGAUAAAUCACGUAUCCAAAUAAUACAAUCGUUUUUUUACCCGUCCAUUUUCAAACCGAAUUUAAAAAUUAAAAGUCGAAUUUUAUCCAAUUAUAGCCCGUACAUAACUAUGACAAAAGAGUAUGUUGAUGCAGGAACGAGAUUUUGGAGUUUUAGGUUGGUGGAUUCAUGUUUUCCUGAAAGUCUCGUCGUCCUGCAGGAUUUGCAGAUAUUGAGUCGUGGAAAGCUCUGUCCACGUUAGUUGCCGCUUUCCGAGAUUUUGGAGCCAGUCGCUAGCGCUUACAGGAUUGCUACUCCUACCGCGACUUCUGGUAUCCAUGAUUGUCCCAUGUGCUCGCUUUAGAGAUAAGUGUGCUCCUCUCACAUGAUUGACUUCACUCCACUUUAGUUAAGCGAGGACCUGCGGUACGAGGAACGACCGAUGCUGAUUCUUACUUGUGAGACGAAGGAAUCACGAGGGACUUGCUGGUCAUACCGUACGUGAAGGUGCAGUGGAGUAACACGAGGAACAUGAGGCAACUUGGGAGCCGGAGAUUGUGAUGCAGGAGUCCUACCCCUACUUGUUUGAGGCUCCAUGUUGAGGUAUAAUUCUAUGUUUCGAGGAUGAAGCUUUUUGUAGUGGGGGAGGAUGUAGUGUCCCUGGGGUUUAGCUGUCCGGGUGACUAUAGCAUUUGUAGCUUGUCAAUACGUCUGAGAAUGUCGGGACGAGUCGGAGUCGUUUUGGUGCAAAACUGACGCGAAAACAGACUUGGUGCUGCGCGAGUUGGAGUUCUGACCCUGAAAUCUGCAAAGUGUAGGAUUUCAGUGUUGAGUACCGGUACCUGGGUUGGGUAUCGGAACCCCAGAGGGAUUACGCAAAAGGGAAGCUCUUGGGUUUGCGCAUUUCAGUGCUAAGUACCGGAACCUGUUGUUGAGUACCGAUACUGGGACUGAGUACCGGUACCGCAUCUGGCUAGUACCGGUACCCAGCGCGCGAACUAUACUGGCUGGCGUGCCGAGUGCCGGUACCCAAGCUGAGUACCGAUACCCCAGAGGCAGAUUUGAGUUGGUAAGGGGUAUUUUGGUCUUUUUGGUUGUCGAUGUUAUCCACAAACCGACCCUCAGCCAUAUAUAUUUGUGAUAGAGCUUUCAGAAGGAGGGAAACUAUUUCUCUUUCUCUCUCUCUAGCAAUUGGAGGUACGAGCUGAUUUUCCUUUUCGUCGUCUUGGAGGAUUGCUCCUGUGCCGUGGCCGAUUCCGGUUGAGCCCGUUUGAGGUCGAGCUAGCGCGGGAUUUCUCCUAUCGACUUCUAGCCGACGUUGGACGAGCUUUCGAGGUGGGUUAAUGUAUACCGAAAUCGUCGGAUUUCCUUCUAGGCCAUAGAGUUGUCAGUAUGUAUUUCUUGGCUUUGUUCAUCACGUUUAGUAGCUCGAAUUGAUAGAUUUGCAUGUCUUUUAUGAAAUCUGAAUUUGGAGACUAAUUUAAUAAUUUUAGAAGAUUUGUUACAUGCUGUAUUAGGAUUUGACUUAGGAGAAAACUCGUAAAACCUACACUAUCACUUUUCGAAAAGUAACUGAAUUAGUUUCAGGAGCUGUUAUUCUUUUGUAUCACUGCUGUUAGUGCAUAGUGGAUACUCAGAUUAGUAUAGGUUAAGGUUACGCUCGUGCUGAGGGGCCGAGCUUAUUUUUACAGUAGGGUUUGGACUGUUUUGUACUGUCGGGAGCCGUCGGGGGUUGACGGUGGACCCAGAUAUUUACAUCUUGUUUUAGAUUAUGCCGAGAGCACGUGAGCUUUGGUUGUUAGAUCUGUUUGACCAAUUUGCAUUGACUAUAACCUGUGUGAGCCUGAUUGAGCUCGACAGAGACACGCUUGCAUACUUGGUUGGGUCGCUCUAAUGCGUGCCACUCCGGAGUGAGGCUUUACUUGCGUUGGUGUCGUAGCAAUUCCGUUUGGGCAGUUCUUGGAUCGACCACCCCUAUGGGUGGUGUGCGGUGUAGCUUGAGUAUAGGCUAGACGGGCAAGUUGGCAGUCCUUUGAGAUUGGGUCAGUGUGUAGCUAGUGAUGCAUUUUUGUGUCUACAGUGAGCCUGGUUGGAAUGGCGAUAGUAUAGUAGAAUAUAACUGUAGAGUUUCUUCCAGCUUUCUUACUAUCCUUUACCUAUGUUCGUCUUGCUUGUACUAUGGACUUAGUGGGUGGGCUGUUGAGGUUGGUGACGGUUCCUACUGAGGACUACUCUGUUUCGCAGUAGUUCUCAGAGUCGUCCACUGCUGUUGCUGUUGCUGAUUCCGACCGCGGUAAGAGAGUCGCGAGCUAGAUCCCUACCACCCUUGGUCGCUGUGUUAGAGUAGUACCCUGCUGAGGUAGUUUUGGGGUUUGUAUGUACAUACCGUUAUGUUGUUGUACUCGCUGGAGCGAGGUUGUUCCUUGACUUUUGUAUGUAU